rnacentral:lncRNA from 1 species
CUUGAGUACUAGAGUUUGGAAUGAUUUAUUGAUGAAAGUUCAAUAUUUACGAGUGUUGUCAUUGUGUUACUAUGAGAUAACGGAUUUGUCUGAUUCAAUUGGUAAUUUGAAACAUUUGCGCUAUUUGGACCUUUCCUAGACACAUCAAAAGGUUACCUGAAUCAAUUUGUAGUUUAUAUAAUUUACAAACAUUGAUAUUACACUAUUGUAAAUGUCUUGUUGAAUUGCCUAAAAUGAUGUGCAAAAUGAUUAGCUUACGUCAUCUUGAUAUCAGACAUAGCAAAGUGAAAGAGAUUCCAAGUCAUAUGGGUCAAUUAAAAAGUUCACAAAAAUUGAGUAACUACAUAGUGGGCAAGCAAAGUGGGACAAGGGUUGGAGAAUUGAGGGAGCUUUCCCACAUUGGUGGGAGUCUUGUCAUUCAAGAUCAGCAGAAUGUGGUUGAUGCUAAGGAUGCCUCAGAGGCCAAUAUGGUAGACAAGCAAUAUUUGGAUGAGUUAGAGUUGGAAUGGAAUCGUGGUAGUGAUGUUGAACAAAAUGGAGCAGACAUAGUGCUCAACAACUUACAACCUCAUUCAAACAUAAAGAGACUCACUAUUUAUGGUUACGGUGGUUCAAGAUUUCCAGAUUGGUUAGGAGGUCCUUCAAUUCUGAAUAUGGUGUCGCUACGUCUCUGGAAUUGUAAGAAUGUGUCAACCUUCCCACCGCUUGGGCAGCUACCCUCCCUUAAACAUUUAUAUAUAUUGGGGUUGGUGGAGAUAGAAAGGGUGGGCGCUGAGUGUUAUGGGACGGAGCCCUCCUUUGUAUCCCUAAAAGCUCCAUCAUUUCAGGGUAUGCCAAAAUGGAAGGAAUGGUUGUGCAUGGGAGGCCAAGGUGGAGAAUUCCCUCGUCUCAAGGAGCUUUAUAUAGAGGAUUGUCCCUUACCAACCCAUCUGCCUUUCUUGACGAGACUAUGGAUUAAAGAAUGUGAGCAGCUUGUGGCUCCACUCUCCAACAGACUUGAGCUUCUGUAGUUCCUCCAGCAGAGUAUCAACUCAUGAUUCUUUGGGUGCAAAAAAUCUCGGCUACUGUUGUCCAAAAAGAGAGUCAUGAACCUGAACUCACAACAAAAAAAUGGUCCCAUUGGAAAUCAUUGCUAGACAGCUAGAGUUUGUUGAGAGAACAAGGAUCAAAGGCCUGCCAUCAGAUUUCAGCAAAUUAGCCAAUGAAAACAAAUUCAAGGUCCAUAAAAUUAUACAAGAAACACAAUUUACAAAAUCAGACCUGCAGAGCUGCUUGGCUUUUAAGCAUCAAUUCACUCUAAAUGAAAUCUGAAGCAUUUGACAAGGUGCUAAUUAAGCAAGGGAGUCUUAAAAGAUUCCUUAUGAAGAUAUGUUGAUCAGAGCCAGGGUGAAGCAUCACAGAUGACCUGAAAGAAAGCAAGAAAUUGUUACAAUAAUUAGAAAAUUGAAAGCAUAUUUUUCCUAUUUAUAAUGGAUCAAAUCAAAAUUGGUAUUUAAGUAUGUUAGUUUUCCUGAGACAAUCAUUUUUAGGACUUAGUUUUCCUGAGACAAUCAUUUUUAGGACAGAACAAGUACCUGACUAUAAAUUGGUGUAAUGCCACCUUCAUUACAAAACUUGGUCAUCGAUCACAAUGUGUGGAAUGUGAGCUAUAUGAUGCCAAUCUUCCCCUGUCCAAAACUUGCACCGAUCUUUCAGCAACGGGCAGUUCUGGAUUGUUAGAACAGAAAGGUUGGUGGGCAGCUGCUCUUCUGUCAAGAAUUGGAGCUUGGGCAGUCACAGAUCUCUAAUUUUUCAAGAGAGGUGAGCAGUUGAAGCUCCAAACUGUCAAGGGACAUGAGAUUUGGAAGAUCUGAGAUUUUGAGAGAGGUAAGAGAGGACAGUCCUUGCAGACCUUGUAUUGGGAAUAUCAAUUCAGGACAACCUUCUAUUAUUAAUGACUGAAAGCAUGCAGCGUUGUGCAGCAGCCGCUUGAGAUUCUUGCAAUUGCAGAUGGAAUAUUGUGAGAAGUCAAGAGCUAGCAAUUCAAUAGACACAAGAUUAGGGCACCCUCUGAUUUUCAACCAAUCAAAAGAUGUAACAUUGCCCUCUGAAGUUGGUAAGGAGAGGGAUUCAAGCCCCUUGAGAUCGUAGAUAUUGAGAUAAGUUAAACUUGGGAAGUUGCCAAGUGGGAAGGAUGAGAAAGAAUUGCAAGUACUUCUGAUGAUCGCCAAAUAGGCAAGGGAAGGGUGGGGACAUUUUAAGAACUCGAGUAGGAGAAACUCUAGUUUCUUACACUCCUUUAUAUAUAAUGAUUUCAUUGUAAUGGGUAAACAAACUCUGCAACAUUCCCUCCUCCAGUAGGGACUCCAAAGAGUCGGAAUUUUGAAUUGAGAGAUCCUGCAGUAGUGGUGGUAGUUCCUUCCACUGUAAGAUGUCACAGCUGAGAGUGGAGCAUGCAGCAUGCUCUAUGAUUCCCAUUAGUAAGAUAUUUUAAUUGCUUUUGUUUGACUUUCUAAGCUACAAAUUACAAGGAUUUAUAAUUCCAUGUGCAUUAUUCUUCAGGUUCUCUGUGUUAAUAAUUCUAUUCACCAUGUCCAUAUGGCAUCUUAGCGCUGUAAAUGUUAACAUUUUCCUUAGUGUAAUCAUUGUUUUAGCUUCAAUUAAUCUGCGGAUGUUCAGUUUAGACACCUCAAACCCAAAACCUUCAGCUUUUGACAGACCACCACUUCCUAGUCUUUGCUCAUCUCCUUCCCAUUUAAUUAUUGUCAUCAACCUUUGAUUUUUUUUACACCGUUAAUAGUAAAAGAAUCAUAAUUGUACUACAUGUGUUGAGCAUGGAUGCUACCAUUUAAUUUCCAUAUUCAAGCUUUUCUUGUACUUACAAAUGAUAAUGUGAGCUCUGGAUUUUCUUCUUUUAAAUUUGUGAUUCUGAGGCAGAUACUUGGAGAAGAGAGAAACCAAACCAUAUUCAAAAUCAUAGCACUGCAGAGGAUGGUUUUGUUCCACCAAGUUCAGGUCAGUUGAGUGGAAUCUUAUUAAUACUUCAAGGACGGAUGAUCAAAUUGGCUGAUUUUCCAAACUUGAUGACUGCCUCUAACCAUGAACUAUUUUUUUGUAUCGACUUAGUGUUAAGAAAUUAUGAACGUAUUGGAUCUGCUCAUACCACCUCCCUUCAAGAUGAAUUUUAACAACUCAGUACUUGGAGGAUGGCUACUCAACUAAAUCCUAUUUAUCGGAGCACAAUUUGAGCUUUUCUUCCUUACUCAGGUAGAGUGCUAUAAAAAUUCAGUCUAAAAAGUAUCUAUCACCCCCUUGUUAGAAUUCAUGAGAGUUUGCCUUUGAAAAUGUCUUAGUUAGACUCAGUCUCUGUUUUGCUCCAUAAUUUUCAGUUUUUCUGUUAGUAGAAGUAGUCAUAGCAGCUGAGAGUUUUUAGCAUUUUCAGUUUGGUUGCAAGCCUAUAAAUAGGCAUUCUCAUUGGUGAAAUAUUGUGUGCCUUUCUCCAACUCAAUACUCUAAUAUUUUCUGCAAGUUUUAGUUCCUUAUUUUUCCCUAGAUUUUAACAGUGGUAUCAGAGCAUUAUUCCUACGGGCUGUGAGGCAAAGUUUUUGAGUGUUUUUAGUAUUAAACACAGUGAGGUUGAGUGCAAACACUAGUGAGGUUGAGUGAUCUAUUUAAGACAAAGCCAUCACCUGCCUACAUUUAGGACUUGCAGACCACAUCUUCACCAAAAUCAUGAACUUGGAAACACCUAAACUGGUUUGGGACAAGCUCCAAGGUGAAUUUGAGGGUAGUGAAAGAGUCAAAACUGUUAGACUCCUCACAUGGAAGAGAGAGUUUGAGUUGAUGAAGAUGAAAGACGACGAAUCUGUCAAAGAUUAUUCUGGCAGGUUAAUGGAUGUUGUAAACCAAAUACGGCUUCUUGGUGAGGCAUUUACAGAUCAAAAGGUGGUAGAAAAGAUCAUGGUUUCAGUGCCUCAAAAGUUUGAAGCCAAGAUUUCUGCAAUUGAAGAGUCUUGUGACUUGCAAACUCUCACAAUUGUAGAGUUAACCAGCAAGCUUCAUGCACAGGAGCAAAGGGUCUUAAUGAGAAGUGAUGAAGCUACUGAAGGUGCUUUUCAAGCAAAUCACAAGGGAAAGAAUUCUGGAAACUUGCAAGGAAAGAAGUUCUUCAAGAACAACAAAGGGAAAACUGAAGGGUCUUCAAGAAAAGGAAAAUUUUCGUCUUGCUCUCAUUGUAGAAGAACCAACCAUGCUGAGAAAGAUUGUUGGCACAAAGGUAAACCUCUCUUUAAUUGUAAUUUCUGCAAUAAACUUGGCCACAGUGAGAAGUAUUGCAGAGCCAAGAAAAAAUAAUCUCAACAGUAACCAGAACAAAAUGCAAGUGUGACUGAAGAAGACAAAAAUGAUGAUGAGCAUUUAUUUAUGGCAUCACAAGCACUUAGUUCUCAUGAACUGAAUACUUGGCUCAUUGACAUUGGCUGCACGAGUCACAUGACCAAAUAUCUGUCAAUAUUUACCUCCAUUGAUAGAUCAGUUCAACCAAAGGUCAAGUUGGGAAAUGGUGAAGUUGUGCAGGCCAAAGGAAAAUGGACAAUUGCUAUCAGCACCAAGAGAGGUACAAAAAUUGUCACUAAUGUUCUUUACAUUCCAGAUUUAGAUAAGAAUCUUCUUAGUGUUGCACAAAUGCUAAGAAAUGGACAUGCAGUCUCUUUUAAAGAAAAUUUUUGUUUUAUCACAAAUGUACAGGGAAAAGAGAUAGCAAAAAUUAAAAUGAAUGGAAAUAGCUUUUAUUUGAAGCUUGAUUUAGUUUAAGGUCAUGUCUUUAGUGCCAAGAUUGAUGAGAGUGUUGUUUGGCACAAAAGAUAUGGUCAUUUCAACUUGAAGUCAUUGAGGUUCAUGCAAGAAGCUGGUAUGGUUGAAGACAUGCCUGAAAUCUUAGUUAAUGCUCAAACUUGUGAAAGUUGUGAGCUAGGGAAGCAACAACGACAACCAUUCCCUCAAAAUAUGUCUAAGAGAGCUACUCACAAGUUGGAAUUAAUUCAUUCAGAUAUUUGUGGACCAAUGAGCACAACCUCAUUGAGCAACAAUGUGUAUUUUGCAUUAUUUAUUGAUGAUCUCAGUAGAAUGACUUGGGUUUAUUUUCUAAAAACCAAGUCACAAGUGCUCUUUGUGUUCAAAAGCUUCAAGAAAAUGGUUGAAACUCAAAGUGGCCAGAAUGUUAAGGUGCUCAGAACUGAUAAUGGAGGUGAGUAUAUCUCAAAAGAGUUCAAUGUCUUUUGUCAAGAAGCAGGAAUUGUACACCAGCUAACAGCUCCAUACUCACCACAGCAGAAUGGAAUCUCUGAGAGGAAGAACAGAACCGUGAUGGAGAUGGCAAGGUGCAUGCUAUUCGAGAAGAAGCUACCAAAACUUCUAUGGGCUGAAGCAGUCAACACCUCAGUAUAUUUGCUUAACAAACUACCAACUAAGUCUGUUCAGAGCAAAACACCAAUAGAGGCAUGGUCUGGUGUAAAACCUUCUGUUAAGCACCUGAAAGUUUUUGGCUCAUUUUGUUAUCUUCAUGUGCCAUCUGUCAAGAGAGGGAAGCUUGAUGAAAGAGCUGAGAAAGGUGUCUUUGUUGGGUAUGCAGCUGAAUCAAAAGGUUACAGAAUUUAUAGCUUGAGUAGAAUGAAAAUCGUGAUAAGUAGAGAUGUGCACUUUGAUGAAAACUCCUACUGGAAUUGGGACUUGAAGAAAGUUCAUAAAUAUGAUCAAACCACUCCAUCUAUUCUUGAACCAGCAAUAGAAAGUACAAUCAUUGAAGGUCCACUUGAUGUUGAAACAACUUCAGACACACCUGUGCUUAAGAUGAGGCCAUUAUCUGAUGUGUAUGAGAGGUGCAAUCUUGUACAUGCUGAGCCUACAUGUUACACGGAAGCUGCAAGAUUUCUAGAAUGGAUUGAGGCUAUGAAAGCUGAAAUUGAUGCUAUUGAAAGAAAUGGAACCUGGAAGUUGACAGAACUACCUGAAGCUAAGAAUGCAAUUGGUGUAAAAUGGGUUUUCAGAACCAAAUUUAAUUCAAAUGGUUCAAUCUUCAGGCAUAAGGCUAGAUUGGUUGUGAAGGGUUUUGCUCAAGUUGCUGGAGUGAACUAUGGUGAUACAUUUGCACCAGUAGCCAGACAUGACACUAUAAGGCUACUACUUGCACUUGCUGGUCAAAUGGGAUGGAAAGUGUACCAUUUAGAUGUCAAGUCAACUUUUCUAAUUGGUAUACUUCUUGAAGAAAUUUAUGUUCAACAACCAGAAGGCUUUGAGGUUAUUGGCCAUGAACAUAAAGUGUACAAGCUACAUAAGGCUCUCUAUGGUUUGAAGCAAGCACCAAGGGCCAGGUAUAGCAGAAUUGAUUCUCAUCUGAUCCAACUUGGAUUUAGGAGGAGUGAAAAUGAAGCUACUUUGUAUUUGAAACAAAAUGAUGAUGGUUUGCAACUGGUAGUAUCACUUUAUGUUGAUGACAUGCUAGUGACUGGAAGCAAUGUAAAAUUGCUAGCUGAUUUCAAAAUGGAAAUGCAGGAUGUAUUUGAGAUGUCUGACCUUGGCAUCAUGAACUACUUCCUUGGAAUGGAAAUAUACCAAUGCAGCUGGGGUAUCUUCAUUUCACAAAGAAAAUAUGCUAUGGAUAUUCUCAAGAAAUUCAAGCUAGAAUCAUGCAAAGAAGUAGCAACUCCGUUGGCACAAAAUGAGAAAAUUUCAAAGAAUGAUGGUGAGAAACUUGAGGAACCCUCUGCAUAUAGAAGCUUGGUGGGCAGCCUACUAUACUUGACAAUAACCAGACCUGACUUGAUGUUUCCAGCUAGUUUGCUUUCAAGGUUCUUGAGUUCACCUAGAAAUGUUCACAUGGGAGUUGCAAAGAGGGUGCUAAAGUAUGUUAAAGGACAACAAAUCUUGGCAUUUGGUAUUUAAAGACAAGAGGAGUUAAGCUAGAUGGUUAUGUUGAUAGUGAUUGGGCAGGAAGUGUUGAUGAUAUGAAGAGCACUUCAGGUUAUGUAUUUACAAUCGGUUCAGGUGUCAUAUGCUGGAAUUUAAGAAAGCAAGCAGUAGUGGCACAAUCAACUACAGAAGCUGAGUAUAUCUCCUUAGCAGCUGCUGCAAAUCAAGCAAUAUGGUUGAGAAAACUGCUUGCUGAUUUAGUCCAGGAACAAAGCUCACCAACUGAGCUUUACUGUGACAAUAAGUCAGCCAUUUCCAUUACUCAAAUUCCUGUCCAACAUGGUAGAACCAAGCACAUAAAUGUAAAAUUCCACUCUAUAAGGGAAGCUGAAAAUAAUUCACUUGUUAAGCUGCAUUACUACUCAACAGAUGAGCAACUUGCUGACAUAAUGACUAAAGGACUUCCUAAAUCAAGGCUGGAGUUCCUAAGGUUGAAGCUUGGUAUGUCCAAGGCAAAUCUCAAGGAGGAGUGUUAGAAUUCAUGAGAGUUUGCCUUUGAAAAUGUCUUAGUUAGACUCAGUCUCUGUUUUGCUCCAUAAUUUUCAAUUUUUCUGUUAGUAGAAGUAGUCAUAGCCGCUGAGAGUUUUUAGCAUUUUCAAUUUGGUUGUAAGCCUAUAAAUAGGCAUUCUCAUUGGUGAAAUAUUGUGUGCCUUUCUCCAAUUUUUAGAUGGUGGCACUUUGAAUCUUUGGAACAGUUGUAGGAGGAAGCUUUGCCAAAGCCUCCCUAUGCAAUACAUGGGCCUUUGGCUGCAAGUGAGAUUUGAAGAUUCUAUUCUCUCUUGGAAGACUUCAACUCAUUUUUAUUUUUUUAGUUUUGAGCUUUGAGCUUUUACUUCCAAGCAUGUGCAAAGAAGAAAGAAAACAACAACAAAGGUCCACUUAUAGAAGUUUUACAUGGAGUGAGACUCCCAUGGAAAAUAUUGUAGCUAUUGGUUUGUCAACCUUGAAGGUUAUAGUUUUGUUUCCCAUUGGAUCUCUGAGGAAUGUGUUUGUUGAAUCAUACAUUUUGAGCUUACUAAUGAUUUUGUGUAUAUACAUAAAUAUAAAUGAUGUUUUCUUUUUCAUUCAUGUGGAAUUUGCUUCUCUAGUAUAUGCCGAAAAGUUACAAAUUUGCUCUUGGGUUUUACUUGAAGUGAGGUUCAAUAUGCCCUUCUUCUGCAUUUUGGUGUAUACAAGAGUUUAUAUCAUAGGCAAAUCACUUCCAAUCCAGCAUCUUUUAAAAUUUUUGUUUCCUUUUUUUUUUUCUAUAGUUUAAAAUGAUGUUGAAAACACUCUAUAAAAAAUAAUUAAAAAUAUCUUAAAUUUAUUCUUAAAAAUAACUACAAACCAAUUUUCAAAAUUCUUUUUUUUUUUUCUUUUAUCAAAAGCUUAUCUGUUUCAAAAUCACAUCAAUUUUGUCCUAGCCAAAUUUUUAUUUAUUUAUUUUUCUGCUAUAAACUAUGAUUUUGGUGGAUGGAGGGACUGUCUCCUCAUUCUGCCACUUGACUGAUAUUCAUAUUCUGUCCACAUUCCCACCGGAAUAUCACAUUCCGACCAUCUCUCCGGCCAAACUGCUGUUAAUUAAUCAGCAUGUCUCCGUCCUCUCUGUGGAACUUUUUCUUUUCUACCCUGAACUAAAAUUGCACUACUAUUAUCAAUGGCUAAAUAUUUAGAGAGAAAAUUUCUCUAAAUUAUUAUUAUUAUUAUUAUUAUUGUUAUUAUUGUUUAAUAUGAUUGAAUUUUUUGAAUAAUUUAUUUGAGUAGAUGAUCAAAACGGAUUUUCUAUUUUUAUCAAACCAACAUUGAAUUGGAAGACGAAAAGUCCAAGGGGGCUCACAUGGUGGGUUCAGCUGUUGGUUUGGGUGGAGUCACUGCAACAGAAUGGGUGUGGGCUGCCCCCCAAAAACCCACUCACAUGACAUCUCUCUUUCCUCCUUUUUCCGUCUAUUCCCAAAACCCAAUGCCCACCUUUCUCACAGGGCUUUUUUAACUUCUCCAGUUAGUUUUUUUUUUUUAAAAAAAAAAAAUUUUUAAAUGAUAAUUACAACAUUGAAAUGUGUCUUUUAAAAAAACAUCUUUCAUAUUUUUCAUAUCAAUGAUACAUAUUAAAAAAAAUUGAAUUUACACUAAAGGUAUCUUUUUGAGAGACCUUCCAUAAUUUCAUAAAACUGAAUUUAUGCUACAAGUGUUUCUUCAAGAGACAUUUUUCUACAAUUUUUUUUAUUAUUCAUACAUGUUAAACAAAUUGCAUUUAUAAUAAAGAUGUCUCUUCAAGAAACACCUUUAAUAUAAUUUUUUUUUUUUUAAUCGUGUGUUAUUGAUAUGAAAAUUGUUGAAGUAUUUCUUUAAGAGAUACCUUCCAAUGUGACGAAAAGUGUGAUAAAUUUGAAAAUGUUUUCCAAUGUAAUAUAUUUUGAAAAAUUAAUUUUAAAUUCGCCAUACUUUUAUCAAAAAUCCCUUUCUCAUACAACCAUUUAAAAAAGACUACCAUGGCCCCAUACUUUUCCACUCUUCCAAGAUUCCAAUUCCAUGAAUGAGAUUGGAAAUGCACAUCUACCCACUUCUUCAUCCCCCACACUUUGGUUUCCCCCUUUUAAUGGAACAACUCCAAAAUUGAGGUAUAUGCAAGCUUUCAAAAAAUGGGUAUGUGCCAAUCCAACGGCCCAAAAUGAACUUGGAAUCUAGAUGUACUUUUUCUCCAUUAUAAGGCACUAAAAUGAAUUCCAUGAUUAAGAUUUUGUUACAUGUUUUGGUUUGGAUCCAAAUACCCUUUUGGACCCAAAACCCUAAUUUGUGUUAUUUUCCUAGAAGAUGAUGAAUCUCACUUCAUUAGGGUUUCAUAUGUAAACAAGUAGCAGAUCAAAAACUACCACAAAGUCACAAAGUGGAACUCGGUCUUCGCAUAUAAAAAUUUAAUACUAAAUCCACUCAUUGUUGGUUUUAAUCAUAAUUUCUAUAGAAAAAUUAGAGCAAGCUAUUAUGUAAAAUUAUGAAUGAAGAUAUGAGAAAUAUUACAUUAUCUAAUUGUUGUGAAAUCUAUCUUAAUUAGGUCUUUUCCUAUCGCAAAAUAAAUAAAUAAAUAGAGUUUUGUAGUUGCUAUAAUAUAUUUGUCUGUAAGUCUUAAAUUGAACUCAUUGGAAGCUCUAAACCUACUAGUGUGAACAAUUGGAUUACUUAAUUCGGUGAUAGCUCAUUCAUUCAUUUUUUUAAUUGAUCUUUAAAUUUCUUUCUUUCUUUCUUUAUUGGUGAUGUUUCUUGGAAAAUGAUGUUGUACGUUUGAGGCAACCUUCCUAGAAAUUGUAGUGUAUUUUAUAAUCUUAUACACAAAGACUAUGUUUGGUUCUCAAAAAUAUUGAGAGAAAUGUAAGGAAAAUAAAAUAGAGAGUACAAAUAAAAGGAAAAAAUAUAUAUUUAAAAUCAAUAAAUUAUUUGUAUAUGUUAUUUCAAAUUCAUUUCAUUUAUUUUUUUUCCUUUAAUAUUAAAAUUAAAUAAUUUUAAAAUAUAUAACUUUGUAACUAAUUUUAAUUUUAUUUGAUGUUCUUUUAUAUUUUUCAUGAUGAAAUCAAAUAUGAGAAAAUUAUUUUUUCUUAACAAGUUUUUUCCUUAGCACUUUUUGGGAAUUAAACAUAGCCUAAAUGAUGAUCAUAAUUUUCUACAUAUUCUCCCCAAGUUUUUAUUUAUUGGAGACAAACACAAUGGGGCUCAUUUUAGAAGUCUUCCCAUAGUUGAGUGAUCACAAAAAGAGGAAUUUUUAAUUUGCCUUUCAUCUUGUUGGUCUUCAAAACAACCUUACAAAAUUGAUCUCUCUCUAAUCCAAUAAAAAAUAAUAAUAAUAAGAGGGACUAUUGAUUUCUAGUUUUUAACAAUAAAAAAAUUAUAAAAAAAAUUCUUACAAAAUAAUUUUUAAAGAACUUUUGAUUCAUGAAAGACCAGUACCUUAGCCCCUUUUGAUCAAAAAUAUACUUUUUAAUUACCAAAAGCAUGUCAAAAGCCUUUUGACUAAUUGAAAAUUUCUCUAGAAAGGAUGUCAACCACUUUUUUUUUUUUUCAAAUAAUUUUCUUUUUGAAAAUAUAUUUUUGUCUUCUCAAUAUUUUUUAUUUUUUAUUUCAAUAAAAGAAAUUUUCUUAUUGUAAGAGGCAUUUUUCAAAGAGAACUUUUAAAAAUUAAGAUAUAAUUCUUCAAAGGCAUUUUGUAAUUCAACAUUUGUAGUUGAAGAAUUUACCUCAUCUUCAUGGUCCUCCAAAGCACAAAGUAAUGUUUGGCAUCCUCAUUUGUGCACUCUUUUUCUAUGGAGGCUUCAUCAUUUUCACUUCAUGUUACCAUCACUACCUUCUUCUUUUUAGCACUUGCGGACUCUUUCUUUGAAUGAAGCCUUCUUUCUUUGACCUUCUCAAAUUUGAUAUAUUUCAUUAACUUCUUUGAGAUGAGAUCAAACUCUUCAUUUUCGCUUUCCUCCUCUUCAUCAUCAAUUGUUGAAGUCUUGAAUGAUAUGUCAUUUUUUUCCUUUUGACCUCUUGAUACUUGUUCAUGUUGAUCUCAUAAAUCAUGAGUGACCUAAUGAGUUCUUCAAGUAGGAGCUUUGAAAGAUCUUUAACUUCUUGGACUACAACCACCUUAGCUUUCCAUUUCUUUGGCAAGGACCUCAAAAUUUUUAUAACCUUUUUUAUUUAGGUAUAGGUCUUUCCCAAAGCUUGAAGUCCGUUGGUGAUGUCCAUGAACCUAGUAAACAUCUCACUAAUAGAUUCAAAUUCUUUCAUUGAAAACAAUUCAUAAUCAUGCACAAGGAUGUUAAUUUAAACUUUUUAACUUGGUUGGUUCCUUUAUGAGUAAUUUUUUAAGAGUCUCCGUAUAUUUUUUGCAGUUUCACAUUGAAGUAUCCUAUUAUAUUCAUUUAUGUCUAAUGCAUGAUGCAAAUAACAUAUAACUUAGCAUUUAGAUGUGAAUUUCUCUUUUCUGGUCCAUCCCACUCAUGGAUUGACUUUGGAAUGGGCGCACCCAUUUUUAAUUUUAAUUGGAAUAUGAUGUCUAUCUUGAAUGACUUACCAUAAAUCAAAAUCAAUAGACUUUAAAAAUCAAAUAAUUUGUUUUCUAAUACCCAUGAUCAUUUCUAGAAAAAAAAUGGGGUCUAGAAAUUAGAAAAUCUUUCAGCUACUAGCCAUUGGGGUUAAUAUGGUAUACUAGAUUAAUCAAUCGUUUCUCAACUGAUUAAGGUUUUAGCCUUGACUGGUUGAGGCUUAGCCUAGACUUGUUAAACAUCUUUCUGGUUUUGAGCAUUUUUACUCCCCUCAACCUAUCUAAGCCUAAUCAAAACAUAUUUUUGAGAUCUAUUUAAGGCUAGAAAACCUUGGUUUAUAGCUCCUUAACCUUUAGGAAACCUUUAAAAAGAUUUUAACCAAAUUAAAACUUAAAUUUUUCCUUGAUUCAAUUUUUAUUAUCUAAUUUGUAAAAGAACUAAAAACAAUUUAGCACUUGGAUGAUUUUAGGUGCUUAAGUAAAAAACAAAAUGCAUGGUCCUAGUGCACAAACAACCUUAUAACAAGAUCUUUGACAAAUGAUCUUCAAUGAUUUUUUUUUUUGGAAGUUUUCUUCUUCUUGAUUUUUAUUUCACUUGAUUUAUUUUUAUGAUUGUCACUUUGAAAAUCUUCUUGUUUAAACACACUUAGAAUAAACCAUUAGUUCCAAACCUUCUUUUACGAUCUUUAAAAUCGAGAUUAACAAGGCAUUGGUUUCACAAAAUCAUUGAUUUUUUUUUUCUUUUUCAAUCUAAACUAAAGGUAUAUCAAUUUUAUUAAUUAAUAAAAGAUCUUCUCUUUGCAAAGCAAAAGUCAUAGCUAUGGUUGGAGAAGAAACAUAUUGCUCUUUUGUUUUUUGCAAAACAACUUAAAAUAAUUAUUGUUACUAGUUGGAAUUGGUUUCCAAAACUCAUAAAAUUGAUAAUAAAGACAAACUUAUGCCUAAGGUCAAAUGAGGUUUAUAGUAUUAAGUAUCAAAGUUUUAAAAAUGUGAGUUAAGGCUUUAAUGUACUAUAUCAUAGAUAGCCUUUUCAAAUUGUAAAAAUUCACUUCUUUUAUAGAAAUUUAUUAUUUAAUGUGGGAGCGACAACUUGGGCCUAGUUUUCAUAUAAUUGAUCUGCAACUUUGAAAAUUUGAAGCGAUUGUUGACUAAAGGUGUGAUAAGUCCAUCUUCGACUACUACAAAAAUAAUUUAUGGUGUCACUUUUAAAAUAAUGACACCAUAUGACUUAAAAUUUAUAAAGGUGACACAUCGUAUAAAAAAUUUCAAUUAGGAUAGAUGAUAUUAAUUUUAAGUUUAUAGUGUCAGUUUUCGAAAAGUGACACCAUAUAAAAUAAAAAUUUUAAAAUAUUAUAACUUAAUGGGCCCACUUUGAGAAUAAUGAUACUAUAUAAAAAAACUCAUUGUUCCCACAUACCCACAAUCCAAAAAAAUCUCAUUCCAUAACCCUAACCAUAAUUUUCUUCUACCUCUUCUCGUACCCACAGUUAACACACAACUACUCUUCUCUACUUCGUGGACUCUCAGGUAACCCAAAAUCUCUUAGAUCUAUCAUUUUCAUUUUUUUUAUUAAUGCCAAAAUCUUUAUUAGCACAAUUGAUUUACAUUCAUUGAUUUAGUAUAUCUGUAAUGUGGAUUAUGUAAAUAGUGUUUCUUUUAUUGAGUUGUGGGAAAUUAAAAAUUAGGUUUAACAUUCCACCAUAUCUUUUGUUUCAUUAUUAAAUCCAUAAACCCCAAAAUGAAUGAAAAUAAGAUAAAUGAAUGGUUGUUUAAUAUCUUUCAUACUCAAAAUGAGGGAUAAACAUUUUACAGUAUGAAAUGUUCUUUUAAUCUUACAAGAAAUUUCCUUUGAUGGGACUUUCUAUUUGUUUUCUAGGAAUAUUAUAGUUUAUUGUGAUGGGGAUAUGUAUCGAUGAUAUUGGAAAAAUAAUUUUUUAGAAAAUUAUUCUCAAUAUUGUCAUCUCCCACAAAAGGAAAAAUGAAAUAGUUUUCAUAUCAUGUUGGAGUUGGUUUGGAAUAUUGGAAUUAACAAUGAGAAAUUAAUUUUAUUUUUUAUUUAUUAAUGUAAAUGAAUUUUUUUUUAAAUUUAAAUAGGAAUGAAAAUUUUUAUAAUUAUAAAAAUGAUAAAAUCUUAUAUUUUGAUUUUUUUUUUCUUUUCCAUUGUAUUAUGGUUAAUAUCUCAUCUUGUUCUAUUCAUAUUUUUUCUAUUCUUAAAAUAUGUUUUUUGUUUUUUUUUUUUACCUUCUUUCUUAUUGUUUUAUAUGCGUUGACCAAAAUUUAGAGUAAUUUGAGCUUUGGUGAUGAAAUUUCCCUUUCAAGGUUAGAAAAUUUCUAUAAUUAAAAUCCUUUUAUUACAUAAAUUUUCCUUUCAUAAAACUUUUUUUUUUUUUGAAGAAGAAGAUGUUUUAUAAUUUUCUUUUGAUUUUCUAUGAAAUUUCCUUUAAUCGGAUUGUUUGCUUAUUUUAUAAGAAUAUUAUAGUAUGUUGUGAUGAAGAUAUUGGUUGGUCAUAUUUGGAAAAUAAUUUUUGUGAAAAUUAUUCUCAAUAUUGUCAUCUCCUUCAAAAGGAUUCUAAAAAUAUGUUUUAUUUUUGUCUUCUUUUCUUAUUGUUUUUAUAUGCAUUGACCAAACUUUGGAGUAAUUUGAGAUUGAUGAUGAAAUUUUCCUUUCAAGGUUAGGAAAUUUCUAUAAAUUCCUUUUAUUACAAAAAAAUUUCCAAUCCCUUCCAUAAAACUCCUCAUUUUCUUCAUUUUUCUUUUUUCUGAAAAAAAUGUUUGAUAAUUUAUUGAUCUAAAGAAUAUUAAAAGUAAAAAAUUUAAAAUAUUGAAUAUCUUUUCCUUUGAUGUUUUUAAUUUUUUAUUAUUUUUAUUUGAACAUAUUUUUCAUAUCCAAUUUUUUUUAUUAAUUAUUUUAAUUAGAAAAAAUAAAUAUCAAUUGGAGUUAUGACUGAAAAAUCAAUAAUUUUUAUGAAAGGUUCUUUAAUUCUUUCUCAUACUAAUUUUUCUCUUAACAUUUUUUUAAUAAUGAAUUAGGUUUUUUGUCUUAUAUACACAAUUUUCAUGCUUGUUAUAAUAUCAUGUCCUCUCAUAUUAGUAGUUGAAAACAUUUUUAUAUUUUGUUACUAACAUUUUAUUUUAUAUAAUUGAGAUAAAAUUUAAUGGACAUUGUUAUUUUACAAAAUGAACAUUAAAAGAAAUAUUGAAAUUAAAAAAAUCCUUCCAAGAAAAAAAAAAAAAAAAAAUAUAUAUAUAUAUAUAUAUAUAUAACGAAUUAAAUGUUAAAAAUGAUUUUUAAAAGCAUAAUGAAUUAUAAAAAAAACAAAUUUAAAAAGUGUAGGUUUUAAGUGGAAGAUUACUAUUUUCUAAAAUUUUAGAUUUAUUUUUUGAUUUUCUAGUUUUGAUUUAUUUUUUAUUUUCUUGAAUUGUUUUUAUUUGAGUUCAAAUGUGACUGUUUUGUUAUGAGAUUCAGUGAAGAGAUAAUUGUUGAUUCUACAGUUAUUGUAUUAAAGGUUUUACUCAUUUAAUGAAUUGUGAUAUUAUUGUGAUAUUAUUAUGAUAGUUUCAUUCUUCCAAUUAUUGUGAUAUUAAUGUUAUUCUUAUUUGAUUUCAUUUUGAUGAUAAAAAAAAAACAUAUUCUCAAGUAGAAUUUGAUGAAAUUAGAGGAGAAUUGACUACUUUUGUGAUAUAACUAAUCAUGAAUCAUGUUCAUAUAUCAUGAUCAUGCAUGAUGAGUCCCUUAGUUGUUAUAUGAAUUUUCCAUUUGUAGAGUAUAACAUUUCUUAUUCUUUACGAACUAUUUUUAUAUCGAAAUGGGAAAAAGAAAAAAGAAAACAUUAAUACUUAGAUUUGUUUAUUUUUUAUAACAUUAAUUAAUUUUUAUUUUCAAUAAGAACUUUAAAACUCAUUAAACUAUAAAAUGCAGGUAUACACUCUUGGGAGGACAUUAUGAAGAAUAAAAAGAAAAGAAAAAGAGGCAACAAGAUUUUGGGUUUUUAGAUGUGACUUUUAUGUUAUACAUUAUAGGACAUAAACGUUACUUUAUUUGGUGUUGAGAAUUUUGGGUUUUUGGAUGCAACUCUUGUGUCAUUUUAUGGUUAGCUAAUUUUAUGCAUAUGAAAUGCAGGUAUACAUGAAUGUUGGAAUGCUUAACAUUUCUAAAUCAUAUUUUAAUGUAUAUUCACUUUUCUUUUUUAGUUUCGGUGGGUUUGAUGUACUAUCAUUUUGUGAACAUUUGAUAUACAAAUAUUACUAGAUGAUGUAAUGUAUUACAGGUUAAUCCAUAAGCAUUACGAAAAUAUAAUUUAAAUGUGAUAUGAUUAUUAUAUUUAUGGACAAAAUAUACACAAGUUGAUCUUAUUUAUUAAUAAGCAUUACAAAAAUAUACAAGCUAAUUAACCAAAAACAACCAUAUCUUCCAUAAUCAUUUACAAUGAUGUGACACCAUAACUCAAAGGUGAUGCAUUUAAUAUGACACCUUAUAUAUCUCACACAACUCUAUAUUAAAUUAAGUAUCACUAAAAAUAUAUGGUGUCACUUCUAAAUGUGUCACCAUUUAUCUGCUUUGGUGUCGGUUCCAAAUACGUCACCAAUUGGUACUCUCUAUUGUGUCAGUGGAUAAGGUGAUGCUAUGUUGUAGUGACACCCUAUGUUUAUAGUGACUCAUUAUAAAUGUCACCAUAUAGUGAAUUCUUAAUUCACUGCAAAUAAUAUAAGACUCUUAUAUCAAAAAAGAUAAAAUUUCUAUAAUCUCUAUGAUCAUGUGCACAUGUAACCCAUAUCUAAUCCCUAAAUUAAUUUUCUGCGAUCAAGAUUUGCAUAAUCAGUGUGAGUGUUGGAAUUUCACUCAUAUCCCACUUUCAUUAUCAAUUACUACAAGAUUAAAGUCAAUGACAAAAUCUAAUUUACUCCACUCUCAAGUUCUCAAAUUCCCAUAAUGCAAGUAGGAAUAAGAAAAGUGUGAUUGCCCUAGUGGGUAUGGGCGGUAUUGGAAAGACCACAGUUACUCAACUGGUGUAUAAUGAUAGGAGAGUGGAGGAAUGUUUUGACCUUAAAGCAUGGGUUUGUGUUUCAGAUGAAUUUGAUCUUGUCAAGAUAAUGAAAACCAUUCUUAAGGCAAUCAAUUCUGGGACUUCUAAUGACAAUGAUUUGAAUCUGCUUCAACUUAAAUUAAAGGAGAGCCAUAGCAGGGAGAAAUUCUUACUUAUCCUUGAUGAUGUUUGGAAUGAAGACUAUAUUAACAGGUAUUUGCUACAAACUCCAUUCACUGUUUGUUUAAAUGGAAGCAAGAUUAUUGUAACUAUACGUGGUGAUAAGGUUGCAUUAGUCAUGUGUUCAGUUGGGACAGUUAUCCUUUGAGUACUGUUGGUGGCUCUUUGCAAAACAUGCAUUUGAAAAUGGAGAUUUUAGUCUACAUCCGGAACUAGAAGAAAUUGGCAAAGAGAUCGUAAAAAAGUGUAAAGGAUUGUCUUUGGUUGCAAAGACUCUCAAGGGUGCCUUAUACUCAGAGUUACAAGUAAAAGAAGGGGAAAACCCAUGGAACGGCGAAACAUAGGAUUUACCAAAUAAUGAAAUUCUCCCCACCUUAAGGUUAAGUUAUUAUAUUCUUCCUUCACCUUAAAGCAAUGUUUUGCAUAUUGCUCAAUUUUUCCAAAGGACUACAAAUUUGAAAAGGAAAACUUGAUUUUGUUAUGGAUGGCAGAAGGUUUUUUGCAACAAUUUGGAGGUAAGAAAACAAUGGAAGAGGUAGGUGAUGGAUCCUUUUAUGACCUAUUAUCAAGAUCAUUUUCUCAUAAGUCUAGUAGCCACAAAUCAUAUUUUGUAAUACAUGAUCUUAUCAACGACUUGCUCAAUUUGUUCCCAGACAAUUUUGUGUUUAGUUGAAGAAUGAUAAGAUGAAUGAAAUUCUUGAAAAGCUUUGCCACUUGUCAUAUUUUUGAAGUUAAUAUGAUUGCUUUAAGGCUAUGUUUGGUACGCAAGAACGAGGUUGUAAUUAUAAAUAAAAUUAAAAAUAAAUAGUUUUUAAUAAAGUAUGAAUAAUAAUAUUAUAAUAAAACCAUAAAUUAUAUUUUUUUUAUAAAUGUUAUAAAAAUAAGGAUAUUAACAUCUUAUAGAAGCAUAAUUGAUUUAUUUUGUUAAAAAUAAAUAAUAAUAAUAUAAAAUUAAUAAUUGUUAAUACCAUUUUUAAAAAUCAUUGAACUUAUGACUUCGUUUUUUUUAAAUAAAAAAAAUUAUUUUUGAAGAAUAACAACCACACAAUAGUAUUAAUUUUUAGAAACAAUUUUAUUUUUAAAUCAUAAGCCCAAAUAGUUUUUUAUUAUUUAGCAAAAAAAAAAAAAACUUCCAAAGUUUUUUUUUUUCUUCAAUGAAAAUAAAAAAUUAUUUUAAACUAAGUGUGGACCCGCAUUUUUCACUUGCGCCCCCACUCGAUCGGCGAGACUCGCUUUUUUAUUUGUGAAAAAUAAUUUUUGGAAAAGCCAGAGUCGCCACUUAUUUUAUUUUUAUUUUAAAGGGAAAAUAAAACAAGAAAGGAAAACUCUAAAAAAAAAUGACUCCAUAAUUUUUGGAAAAGCAUGUCUUUGAAAACCCGAGUCUAGGUCCGGGGAUCAGGUUACUUAUUGGGAAGGUACCUCUAGGAGGUAGCACCCUUCUAAGCCCUAAAGAGGUCUCUACUAACAAAGUUAAGGGAAGUGUGGCCAUUAAUCAGUUAAUUAUGGAUACCUAAGUAGGCUAGGUGAUUUUAAAGAGUGGCAUGCCAAACACAAUCAAAUUGCAAUAAAGGAGAGUUAGGGUGCGUACCUGAACCGCUCUUCAAGCGCUAUCAUACAACAUAAGAGUUAGUGUAGGAAUCUAUCACACAACAUAUGUCUUAUCCAGGCAAAUCUAAUAUAUAUUUAAACACCCAAGAAUCACAUCAUGCAUGGAUGUAGUCACCAAUAGCAUACGUGUCCAUAGAAUUCUAAAAACAAAAUAUGAGAAGGAGCGUACCUAGAUAGCAAGCUAAAGCGCCUUUAUGGGAAGCAAGGUUAGCCCAAUAACAAAUAUAAAACAAAUUCAAGCAUAUCUCCAAGAGGAAUCAAAAUCAAUUAAAUACCAAACAUUCACCUUUAAAAUCAAUAUUAGUGAAGAUAUCAAGAAUGUAGGACCCCCACCAAAGUCCAUAUUACUUUUGCACGAAUUGAUUCAAUGAAUUCCAUUGUUUGGAAUCAUGAAGUUUGUUCAUGCUUGUUGAAAAUCGAGAAAAAUCAAGAAAUUCAGUUGAAAAUCAAAUAAAAUAGUGAAAAUGCAUGCCGGAAGGAAAAUGGCAGUAAGAGUGUUAGAAUAUGGAUUUUAUACCUAGAAAAGGACUUAAGAUGAAUUUUUCAAAACCAGGAAUGUUUAGUUGAACAAAGGUUCAAAAAUUCAAUUUAAAACAAUAAGUUUCCAAUCAAAGAAGCAAACAGAGGAGAAGGUGUGUAUAGCAGGGUUGCCAUGAAGUGAAGCCGGGAAAUUUUGGAUAGAAGGGACCAAUUCACUGCAAGAGUAUUCAACUGUCAAAUGUUUCAACGAGCCAAGCUAUCCGGGUGGAGAGUGAAUUGUUGGCCACAGUUACUCUCCUCUCCCAUCCGGCGGAAGGCGCCGGGUGUGAAAUAUCCGGAGAAGGCGGAACGUCGAACGGAUAGAAUGGCGGUUGUGAGAUCGGCCGGGUAUAACGGCGGCUGUGAGAUCGGCCGGGUAGAAUGGCGGUUGUGAGAUCGGCCGGGUAGAAUGGCGGCUGUGAGAUCGGCCAGGUAGAAUGGUAGUUGUGAGACAUCCAGAGAAAUGGGAGGUCGGCCGGGUGGAAUGGCGGCUGAGGUAUCCGGGUGGAAUGGGCGAUGCCAUAAACUAAGAACCCUCAAGAACUCUGCAUCUGUUUAACUCCAAGAAAACCCGUUUUACACGGCCUUUAUCAAGUUCCCACCUUUCUCGGGAUGUUCAUGGUCUCCAUAUCCGAGAAUACCAAGGUGAAGAAAGGGAAGAAACGUAGAUACAGAUGCACACAAAAAAGACCAAGAAAGAAAAAAAGAGAAAACAGGGAAAAGGAAGAUGAUAGGUCGGUAAUCAGAAUAAGUCACACUUUAUGCUUUUCAAAAUGGCUUGAAGAAUUGAACGCAUUAAGACAAACUUAGUUCAUAUUAUACCAAGAUUUCACAAACAUUAAAACUCAGCCAUAAAUCUCUGUUUCAGCUAUUUGUAGAAAGAAUCUAAGAAAUCAAGAACACAAUCAUAACAGAGCAAGCUUGAAGGAAAUUUCGAUUCAACAACGUAAAUAAGUGGCCCUCAAUGUCCACUCCAAUCAACAAGAAUAACUUCUCGAAAACAGCCAGAGAAUCUAGAGUGGAAUGUAAACGGGAAUACCAAAAAAAAUAAAAAAAAAAGAACAAGAAGCGUACCUGGCAGAUUCCUGGCUGCAAUCUCCCUUUUCCUGCUCUUCUGCACCUUUUCCCUCUCACAAUCAAAAGAAUCCCCCCUCCCUUUCUUCUCUCACAUAUAUAUGUCAACCUUCCCAAAAGAACAACCCAAAUCUGCUGGAGGAAAAUCCCCUCAUUCCUUCCUUUUGUAAUCUACUUUCCGUUCUUAUUUUCUUCCCUUUUAUAACCGAUUCUCCCAUGGAAAUAAUAUAUGUGCUAUCCUUCUGAAAACAAAAUCUCUUUUUAAAAAAAAUUCUGUUGAUUCUCCUUCCAAAUAGAUGACGACCCGUUUCCUCAUGCCCAAAAAGCCAAGAAAUAUGAUUUAGAAAACUUGUAAUAAGAUAAAAUAAAAUAAAAUAAAAAUAAUAAAGAAAUCCAUAUAAGCCACACAAGUCAUGUAGGUCAUGCAAUCAUGCAAGUCAUAUAAAAAGUGGGUUUAAAAGUGCUUAAAUGGGCCUAGUGUGUCUAAAAGCCUAGAGCGGUGCCUCAUGGGCCAAGUGUACCUAAAAGCUAUCCUAAAAAUGAACGGAAAAGCCUAAGUCUAAAUUAGGGCUGCCAAGAGUCACAAUAAGGGGUCAGAUAAUCCCUCAACCAAAAUCUCCGAGGUGGCUCAGAAAAAGGUAAGUUGUACGAGUAGUAAUGGGCCACCAAGGAACUAUUUUGAAGCACUGAAAACGAACUUAAAGUCAUGUGCUAAAGGGAAGAAAUUGAGGGUCUACACUAAGGUUUAAAAAAAAUGAAAAUAAAAUAUUAUUUUAAACUGAGAUUUAAAAAAAAAUGAAAAAAAAAAUAUUAUUUUAAACUAUAUGUAUGAAUAUUGUAAAUUCAUUUAUGAAAAAAAAAAUUAUUUUAAACUAUAUGUAUGAAUAUUGUAAAUUCAUUUAUGAAAAAAAAAAUUAUUUUAAACUAUAUGUAUGAAUAUUGUAAAUUCAUUUCUUUUUUUCAUUCUCAUUCUGUUAUUGCUUAACAUUGAAAUAAAAACAAAUAAUCAUUCUAAUGUUGCAUUGUUAUAUGCAUCCAAAACAUAAGAAUUGGAAUUAUCAAAUUCAUUCUUAUUCAAGGAUGAAUAAGAAUGAAAAGAAAAUUUUCUUUCUCAUUCCUCAUUUCCUUUCACCAAACAUGCUCCGAGAGAUUUGGGACCCUUAAUGAAGUUAAUGGUCUUCGGACCUUCUUACCAUUGAAUUUGAGGACUUGGCCUCGAUAUGAUAAGGUUUCAAAGGUUAUAUAUCUACCAUAUGGGCAUAAAUAUCUUCUACAAUUUUGCUAAAGUAAUAGACUUUGGAAUAAUUUAUUACCUAAAAGUUCAAUAUUUAAAGUUCAACUAUCAUUGUGAUAUUUAGACCUUACAACCAUCAAAAGGUUAUCUGAAUCAGUUUGUAGUUUGUAUAACUUACAAACAUUGAUACUAUAUUAUUGAGAUUCUCCUAUUGAAUUGCCUACAAUGAUGUGCAAAUUGAUUAGGUUACAUCAUCUUGGUAUUAGUCACAGUGGAGUGAAAGAGAUGCCAAGUCAAAUGGAUCACCUUUUACAAAAAUUGAGUAACUAUAGAGUGGGGAAGCAAAGUGGGACAAGGGUUGGAGAGUCUUCAAAUGGUGCCGGUAGUGGUAGAAGUAGAGGGUAUGACUUCAAGUAGGUACUCUAGACCACGAAUUGGAGUUCAUUAACGUGUUCUUUAAUUUUGAAGGAUUUGCAAAGAAACUUUCAAAUAUCCAAAAUCUUAAAAAAAAUAAUAAUAAUAAAAUAAAAUAAAAAAUAAAUAAAAGAGAGAGAGAAGAAGAAGAAAAAAAGAAAAAAAGAAAAGACCCAACAGAAUAAUUUUGUAUCUUAGGAAUAAGAGUUGAAUCCUCCAAUCAGCAAGAAUAAUUAUUUAAUGAAUCAACCGGAUUGAGACACAAAGUCUUCAGGUGUGAAAAGCCUGAGACUUUCCCAUUUUUAUUAAUCAAAAUAAUAAUUUUUGAAAGAAAUAUCUAUCAAUUUUAGUCCAAUAAUUAUUUUGACUAACUAGACUUUUAAAAGUGAUUUUUAGGAUUUUAUAGAGUAAUAACUUUUAAAAGAAGGCGGUUUUAAAAUUUAAAUAGUGCUUUUAAGCGUCUACUUGGUAAUCUUUUGAAAAACAAUUCUCAGAAAAAAGAUUUUCAAAAUCGGUUUUAAAAACAAAUCCAAUUAUUUUUAUAAUAAAAUAGUCUUCUUAAUUCAUAAAGGUAAAAAGUUCAUAUUUUCUAUAUUUUAUAUUGAUGCAAAGGAGGCUCUAUACUAUUUCUAAAAAUCACCCCAAGGAGAAGUUAUUUUGAUUCCUUAGUAUAAGUUAUUUUUAAAACACUUUUUUUUAAAAAAAAAAUGGAUAAGUUGUUUUUAAAAAUAAUUUUUUAUUUUGAUUUUGUAAAAAUACAAAUUGUAAAUUUAAUUUAAAUAAUAUACAAUAAAUUUAAUUCAAGUUAAUUAAACAUCAAAAUAAUUUUGUAAUUAAAAAUAAAUUAAAAAAUAAAUAUUUUUUAAUAAAAUAUGAAUAGUAAUAUUGUAAUAAAUCAUAAAUUAUAUUUUUUUAUAAAUUUUAUUAAAAUAUAGAUAUUAACAUUUUAUAAAAGCAUUGAUUUAUUUUGUUGAAACUAAGUAACAAUAAUAUAAAAUUAAUAAUUGCUAAUACAAUUUUUAAAAAUUAUUAAACUUAUGACUUUGUUUUUAAAAAAUUGUUUCUCAAGAACAACAACCAAACAAUGUUAUUAAUUUUUGAAAACAAUUUUAUUUUUAAAUCAUAAGCUCUAAUAGUUUUUUAUUAUUUAACAAAAAAACAAAAAAAAAAAACCCUCAAAGUUGUUUUUUUCUUAACCGAAAAUAAAAUAUUAUUUUAAACUAUAUAUAUAAAUAUUGUCAAUUCCUUUCUUUUUUUCAUUUUUGUUUUAUUAUUACUUAACAUUAAAAUGGAAACAAAUAAUCAUUUCAAACUUGCAUUACUAUAUACAUCCAAGUAUAAAAAUUGGAAUCACCAAAUUAUUCAUUCCCAUUCAAGGAGAAGUAGGAAUGGAAAGAAAAUUUUCUCUCUCAUUCUUCAUUCCCAUAUACCAAAUAUUGUCUCAGAGAUUUGAGACCCUUAAUGAAGUUAAUGUUCCUCGGACCUUCUUACUAUCAAAGUUUAGGACUUGGCCUCAGUAUGAUAAGAUUUCAAAGGUUAUAUAUCCAUCGGAUGGGCGUAAAUAUCUUCUACAGUUUUGCUUGAGUAAUAGAGUUUGGAAUGAUUUAUUACUUAAAGUUCAAUAUUUACUGAGUGUUGUCACUGUGAUAUUUAGACCUUACCUCCGCACCCAUCAAAAGGUUAAAAAGAAUCAAUUGUCACUUAUGGGUUGUUUCAGCGUGAAAUUGAAGUUGAAUAAUGGAGGUGAAAUCCAAAAGCCGAGAAGCAGCCAUUUGGGUUAUGAAAAUGAUUUAUAUAUUGGAGUGGUUUGAGGGUUGGCCAUUUAAACCAUGCACUGUGAACUUUUGCACCUUUCUCUUUGGCAGCUUGAGCCAACCAACUUACAGAACAACAAAAAUUGAAGUAAUGAUUCCAUGAGUUGGGUGUGUGUAGGUGGGUAAGAGUUGAAGGCAAAGCAUGUGCUCUUGCAGGCCACUACCCGCCUGUUGUCGUGAGAUCUCACUUGGAGACCCACCGGACACAUGGUGUUGAGAAGGUUGACGUUGGAAAGAUGAAAGGUGGGGAUAAUCUCGGCUGGUGAUACACACAACACUAUGCACCCGGAACACCCACAGGAAACGAAGAAGAAUAACAAGAAAAUAGAACAUCCAAAAAAAAAAAAAAUUGCCCCCCAUGCUUACCUGAGAGCUCCUCCAAAAAAAAAAAAAAAAACCUGAUCGUUGGACUUCUCCCCCAGCCUCCUUGUCCUCCUUGCAGCUGGCUUCAAUUUUUUUUUUUCUUCUCUCAGCUCCGUCCCUCUUUUUCCUCAACCCCCCACCUUUUUUUUCUCUUCCUCUCUGAAAAACCCUGUUCCAGCCAUCAUCCAUCUGCCACUCUCUGUUCCAGCCAUCACCUCUGUUCAGAGACAUCCCUCUCGCAACCACUAGCAUGGGAAGUUGGUGGUCCUUUGUCAUGCGUCUCAACAUGCAGCUCGCUUGGAAAACGUCUCCCACUCCUCCUGCAUGAGAUGUUCUCCGGGGGUGAUAUGAAAAUACCCCUUGGUCCAAGAGGGGUCUACAAUUACAUUAUUUAAUUGUUGUGAAAUCUAUCUUAAUUAGGUCUUUUCCUAUUGCAAAAUAAAUAAACAAAUAAAUAGAGUUUUUGUAGUUGUUAUAAUAUAUUUAUUUGUAAGUCUAAAAGUGAACUCAUUGGAAGCUCUAAACCUACUAGUGUGAACAAUUGGAUUACUUAAUUUGGUGAUAGUUCAUUCAUUUAUUUUUUUAAUUAAUCUUUAAAUUUAUUUCUUUUUUUCUUUAUUGGUCAUGUUUCUUGGAAAAUGAUGUCGGACGUUUGGGGCAACCUUCCUAGAAAUUGUAGUGUAUUUUAUAAUCUCAUACACCAAUGGUGAUAUUUCUUGGAAAAUGUGGUUUCUUGUUUUUUCAAUUAAUCACAAAGGUGAUCCAAUGGUCACGCCUUGAGUUAUUGAGAAACCAGACUUUGGUUCCACAUUGCCCUUGGCUUUUAGUCCAAGUAGUAGGUGGUAUCCACAGCCAUAUAUGAUAGUGUUUUCCACUCCCAAGAUUCCAUGAUAUCCCUCUGGUUAUCUGUUCUCAAUCCUAGUAACAAAUAUUGUUAUGAGCACAUGGUUCUACACCUCAUGCUCAUAUGCUUUAUUGAAUUUAACGUGAUUGUUGAAUGAAGGUAUGACAAGUCCAUAUUUUUUUUAUAAAAACCAAAUGAUUAUGAGACUCUUAUAACAAAAAAAGUUAGAAAAUUUUUAUAAUCCCUACAAUCUUGUACAUAUCUAACUCAUAUCUAAUCCUUAAGAUUGUGAUCAAUCAAGAUUAACAUAAUCAUCAAUCGGUGAGUCAGAAUUUCACUCAUUUACCACUUUGAUUAUUAAUUACUAAAAGAUUAAAAAUCAAUUUACUCUACCCUUUCUUGCUGUUCUAAGAUUACAUCCCCAUUCAUAAACCUUUGAUUGAUUAAAAAUAUGCAAAACAAUAAUGGUGUUCCCCACUAUCCAAAGAUUCGAUUUCUAGCAGAGAUUGAUCUCUUUGGUACAUACAUGCAUUCAACAAUUAUACAAAACAAUAAUUGUUUCCAUUUCAUAUUGAAGAUUUUAAAAUAAAGACCAGACAUUUCCAAUAAAGAUUAUAUUGCAGUGCAUUUCAUAUACAUGAAACAAAAACUACUCUCUUUUACCUUCUACUUGAUUUCUCUUAUUCACCACCCACUUCUCUUCUCUUUGUGAAGCUUCUACUUGAUUUCUCUCAAUUCACCCACUUCUCUUCUCUUUGCGAAGCUUCUACUUGAUUUCUCUCUACUCACCCACUUCUCUUCUCUUUGCGAGGCUUCUACUUGAUUUCUCUCAUUCACCCACUUCUCUUCUCUUUGCGAAGCAAAGACAUGGCUCCAGUUGGAGAGGCAUUGCUCACAGCUUCUAUUCAAGUUUUGUUGGAAAAGAUGGCUUCUCGCGAGGUCCUGAGCUUCUUCGGGGGACAGAAACUCAAUGCUGCACUCUUGAAUAAGUUGAAGAUCACAUUGCUCACUGUCCAUGCAAUCCUCAAUGAUGCGGAGGUGAAGCAGAGUGAGAAUCCAGCAAUCAAAGAGUGGCUCCACGAGAUUAAAGAUGCUGCCUACGACGCGGAGGACUUGUUAGAAGAGAUUGCUACAGAAGCUCUUCGGUGCACGACGGAGUCUGACUCCCAAACUAGUGGAACUCAGGUAUGGAACGCCAUCUCGACCUCUCUUAAUCCAUUUGGUGAUGGGGUGGAGUCCAGGGUUGAGGAGAUAUUUGAUAGAUUAGAAUUUCUUGCUCAACAAAAAGACGCUCUUGGGUUGAAAGAAGUUGUUGGUAAGAAACUAGCAAAAAGAUGGUCGUCCACUUCUGUGGUGGAUGAAUCUGGUGUUUAUGGCAGGGAGGGUAGUAAAGAGGAGAUAAUUGACAUGUUGCUCUCAGACAAUGCAAGUGGCCAUGUCAAAACUGUGAUAGCCAAAGUUGGCAUGGGCGGCAUUGGGAAGACCGCCCUAGCACAACUUUUGUAUAAUGAUGAAAGGGUAAAAUCAUAUUUUGAUAUGAAAGCUUGGGUCUGUGUAUCCGAAGAAUUUGAUCUCUUCAGGAUAUCGAAAACAAUUCUUGAGGCCACUAAUGGAGCCGCUUUUAGUUGUACUCGUGAUGUAAAUGACUGAAUCUGCUUCAAGUGGAGCUAAGAGAGUCCCUUAAUGGGAGGAAGGUUCUAAUAGUUCUGGAUGACGUCUGGAAUGAGAGCUACAAUAACUGGGACAUGCUACAAACUCCGCUUAAAGUUGGAGCAAGUGGUAGUAAGUUUAUUGUAACCACACGCAAUGCAAAUGUUGCAUUAACCAUGCGUGCGCAUCACACUCAUCAUCUCGAACAACUAUGCUUUGAAGAUAGUUGGCGGCUGUUCACAAAACAUGCAUUUGAAAAUGAAGAUCCUCUAGUACAUCCAAAACUGGAGGCCAUUGUAAAAGAAACCGUGCAAAAGUGCCAGGGCUUGCCUUUAUCCAUCAAAACACUUGGGGGUCUUUUGCACUAUAAGAUGGAUGAAAAAGAAUGGGAUAACAUAUUGAGGAGUGAAAUGUGGGAUUUGCCGAGUGAUGAACUUCUUCCAACUCUGCGGUUAAGCUAUUGUCAUCUCCCCUCAAAGUUGAAGCGAUGCUUCGCGUAUUGUGCAAUUUUUCCUAAGGGCUAUCAGUUCCGAAAGGAGGGGUUGAUUUUAUUGUGGAUGGCAGAAGGUUUUCUGCAACAACCAAAAAGCAAGAAAAGAAUGGAAGAGAUAGGGGACUGGUACUUUCAUGAAUUAUUGACAAGGUCAUUUUUUCUUAAAUCGAGUAGCAGAGACUCAUGUUUUGAAAUGCAUGACCUUAUAAAUGACAUGGCUCAACAUGUAUAUGGAGAUUUUUGUACUCGAUGUUUGGAAGAUAAGAUGAAUGAUGUGUAUAAGAAGACUCGUCACUUCUCACACCUUGUAAGUGAAUAUGAUUCCUUUGAAAAGUUUGAGACUCUUGUUGAAGUUAAAUGCCUCAGAACCUUCUUUAAAUUCCAACCACUAUUCAUGCAGACUUGCUUAAGUAAUAGGGUUUUACAUGAUGUGAUACCAAAUAUUAGAUGCCUCCGUGUUUUGUCCUUGUCUGGUUAUUGGAUUGUUGAUUUGCCUGAUUCAAUUGGCAAUUUAAAAUGUUUACGUUUUUUGAACCUUUCUCACACACCUAUCAAAAGGUUACCAGAAUCAGUGUGUAGUUUGCAUAAUUUACAAAUAAUUCUACUCUCUAAUUGCCGUUGUCUCCGUGAGUUGCCUCAUGGAUUGAAGAAAUUGAUUAACCUAUGUUAUCUUUGUAUUCGUGAUUCUGGAAUAAAAGAGAUGCCUGAUCAUAUUGGUCAAUUGAGAAAUUUACAAGAAUUGAGUAGAUUUAUUGUGGGUCAAACAAGUGGUCGUAGGAUUGGAGAGCUCAGGGGGCUUUCAGAAAUUAGAGGGAGGCUGCACAUUUCAGAACUCCAGAAUGUGGUUUGUGGUAUGGAUGCCUUGGAGGCAAAUUUGAAGGAUAAGAAGUAUGUUGAUGAUUUGGUGCUGGAGUGGAAGAGCAACUCUGAUGUUCUACAAAAUGGAAUUGACAUAGUCAACAACUUGCAACCGCAUGAAAAUGUCAAGAGGCUUACCGUUGACUCCUACGGGGGUACAAGAUUCCCUGAUUGGUUAGGAGAUCGUUUGUUCUUAGAAAUGGUGUUCCUAAAUCUCAAGAAUUGUCAACAUUGCUCUUCUUUGCCGUCACUCGGCCAGCUAAGCACCUUUAUAUCUCAGGGAUGCAUGGCAUAGAGAGAGUUGGUACUGAUUUCUAUGUCAAUAAUUCUUCCUCAGUAAAGCCCUUCACAUCCCUUGAAACUCUCGUUUUUGAGAAGAUGAGACAGUGGAAGGAAUGGGUAUCUUUCGGAGGAGGCGAAGGUGGAGCAUUCCCUCAUCUGCAGGUGCUCUGCAUAAGGCACUGUGCCCCAACCUCACUGGAGAAUUACCCUGCGAACUUCCUUCCUUGACGAAACUUGAGAUUUGUGGAUGUCAGCAGCUUGUGGCUUCAGUUCCAAGGGUUUCAGCCAUUCGAGAAUUUAAGAUACUCAAUUGUGGUCAGGUUCUGUUUGGAAGCCCGCCUUAUGAGUACUUCACUCAUCUGCAAACUUCAGGAAUUGAAAUUUCAGACAUCUCACAGUGGAAGGAACUACCUCAGGGACUGCGGGGGCUCACAAUUCUAAAAUGCGUCUCUGCGGAGUCACUACUAGAGGGAAUAAUGCAAAACAACACUUGUCUUCAACACUUGAUUCUCAAACGUUGUUGCUUUUCCAGAUCCUUGUGCAGAUGUUGUUUACCCACUUCAUUGAAAUCACUACGCAUAACUACGUGUAGAAGACUACAUUUCCUCCUUCCUGAGUUCCUAAAAUGCGACCAUCCCUUCCUUGAACGAUUGCACAUUGAAGGUGGUUACUGUAGAUCUAUCUCUGACUUCUCAUUUGGCGUCUUCCCUAAGUUGACUCGUCUUGAAAUCUAUGGUAUUGAGGAGCUUGAAUCCCUAUCCAUUUUGAUUUCAGAGGGAUCUCUCCCAGCUCUCGAUAUACUGCUAAUCCAUACCUGCAACGAUCUCGUAUCUAUUGAGUUUCCAACUUUCGAGUUGACACGCUAUGAGUUCUUACAUUGCAAGAAGCUCAAGUCGUUGAUGUGCUCCCUCGGCUCUUUUGAGAAACUAAUUUUACGAGACUGUCCCCUAUUGUUGUUUCCAGUUGGAGGUUCUGUGUCCAGCAUAAAUUCACUUAGAAUUGACAACUGCGACAAACUCACACCCCAGGUGGGAGUGGGGCUUGCAAGGACUGGCUUCUCUCUUACAAUUCAGCAUUAGAGGUGGAUGCCAAGACUUGGUGUCGUUUCCAAAGGAAGGCCUGCUGCCCUCAACUCUCAACUCUCUUGUAAUUGAAAGUCUCCCAAAUCUCAAGUCUCUAGAUGGCAAGGGGCUUCAACUGCUUACCUCUCUUCAAAAAUUACGCAUCAAUGACUGCUAGAAUCUUCAAUCCCUGCCAAAAGAGGGGCUUCCCACCUCCAUUUCUUUUCUAAAAAUUAGCAACUGUCCCCUGCUGAAAAAUCGAUGCCAAUUCUGGAAAGGGGAAGAUUGGCAGCGUAUAGCUCACAUUCCACGCAUUGUGGUGGACGACCAAGUUCUGUAAUGAAGGUACUUAUUCUGUCCUAUAAAUGAUUUCCUUCUAAAGAAAGUAGGCUGUGAUUGAAGCUUUCUAGUCAUAAUAUUAAUAUCUUUUAUUAUUUGUCACUUUCCUGUGCUGAAAAAAUAUUACACCAAUUUAUGUCAUGGCAGGCCUAAAUACCAAUUUUAUUUUGAUCCAUAAUAAAUAGGAAAAAUAUUCUUUAAAUUUUCUAAUUAUUAUAACAAUUUCUUGCUUUCUUUCAGAUUAUCUGUAUGUCUCGACUCUGGCACUGAUUCAACAUGUCAUCACGAGGAAUAUUUUAAGACUCACUUGCUUAAUUAGUGCCAUGAAAAAAUGAUGCUUAAAAGGCAAGCAUCUCUUCAGGUCUAGAUUUCGUAAAUUGAGUAAUUUUGUGGACAUUGAGUUUGUUUUCACUGGCUAAUUUGCUGAACUGUCAUGACAGAUUUUUUUUUUCCCAUCCAAAGACUCAUGAGUUGAUACUCCCCUCGAGGAACUACAGAAAGCUGGACUCUGUUGGAGAGUAAAGUAUGUGGCAUGCUCUAUGAUUCCAAUUAGUAAGACAUUUCAAUUGCUUUGGUUUACCUUUCUCAGCUACAAAUUACAAUAUUCAUAAUCUCACAUGCAUUAAUUCUUCAGGUUCUCUGAGGCUGCAUCUGUGUUGAUAUCUUAGUUCUUCUCUAGAAACAACAGGUAUAUUUUGAUUCGUACUUUUCAUAAGCUGACACAUUGUGUAGUUCCAUGAUUUUCAAAACGAGAUAAACCUAUCAUGGCAGGCCUUUGAUCCUAGUUUUCUCAACAAAUUCAAGCUGUCUAGAAAUGAUCCUUCCAAUGGGACCAUUUUUUCCUGUGAGUUCAGAGUCAUGAUUCUCUUUCUGGUAGACAGUGGCAGAGAUUUUUUUUUCCCAUCCAAAGACUCAUGAGUUGAUACUCCCCUCGAGUAACUACAGAAAGCUGGACUCUGUUGGAGAGUAAAGUAUGUGGCAUGCUCUAUGAUUCCAAUUAGUGAGACAUUUCAAUUGCUUUGGUUUAACUUUCUCAGCUACAAAUUACAAUAUUCAUAAUCUCAUAUGCAUUAAUUCUUCAGGUUCUCUGAGGCUGCAUCUGUGUUGAUAUCUUAGUUCUUCUCUAGAAACAACAGGUAUAUUUUGAUUCGUACUUUUCAUAAGCUGACACAUUGUGGAGUUCCAUGAUUUUCAAAAUGAAUACUAAAUUCUACUGAAGCUAAAACAAAAAUCUUACUGCCUGAGGUUAUGUCUUUGAUGAAUUUUAUUCACUAUGUAGGGAAUAAAACCAAAUUCCCAACCCGUGAGAAACAAAAAAUUAGAGAAAAACCCAUGCCAAAGAAAAAACAAUCACACGCACAAGACAGUAUUUACGUGGUUCGGCAAUUUGCCUACGUCCACGGAGUUGCAGGGAUAUCACUAUUAUCAGGGAAGAAUACAGAGUACAACCUGGCGGCUACAAUAUUCUCUAUAUAUAUAUAGCACAGCAACCCUACCAUACUAAAAAACCCUAAUUACAAAAGGUGGUUCCACAAUGGGCUAAACGGGCCCAACAGGCCUCAAUAAAUCUCCCAUUAAAAAACCAUGCAAUAUUAUUCGGGUCGGGUCGUCAAACCGGAUCAAACAAAACUAGGCUCCACAAAGCCCAACACACUAUGUUCAUACGGCCUCCGAGUGACCUAGACUUUAGCAUGUGCCUUAGUGUACACAUUGUUUUCAUCUCUUUCAGCUUUAAUUGAUCUGCAGAUGUUCAGUGUAGGCACCGCUCAUCUCCUACUCAUUUACAUGAUUGCCAUGGACCUUUGUGCUUUACUUUGUUAAUGAUAAGGUAAUCAUAAUAGUACAUUAGUUGAGCAUGGCUGCAACCAUUUUCAUAUUCAGGCUUUUCUUGUGCUUACAAAUGAUAAUGUGAGCUUGAAUUUUCUGUUUUUAAAUUUGUGAUUCUGAGGCAGAUAUUUGGAGAAAAGAGAAGGCAAACCAUAUUCAAAGUCAUAGCACUGUAGAGUAUGCUUUUGUUCCACCCAAGUCCAAGUCAAUUGAGUUAAAUCUUAUUAAUACUUCUAGGACACAGGUUCAAAUCAUUUGAUUUUCCAAACUUGAUGACAGCAUCAAAUUCUGCUGAUUACCAUGUGAACCAUUUUUAUUUUCAGAUGGUGGUAUUUUGAAUCUUCAGAGCAGUUCCAGGAGGAAGCUAGCUUUGCCAAAGCCUCCCUGUGCAAUACAUGGGCCUUUGGUUGCAAGUGAGAUUUGAGGAUUUUAUUUUAUCUUGGAAGACCUCAACAGAUUUUUUUGAGUUUUGAGCUUUGAGCUUUGAGCUUUUACUCCCAAGUAUGUGCAAAGAAGAAAGAAAGCAAUAAUAAAGAUUGGUUUACUGAAGUUUUAUAUGGAAUGAGACCCAAUGAAAAAAAUUGUAACUAUUGGUUUUUCAGCCUUGAACAGUAUAGUUUUGUUUCCCAUUUUGUUCUUUGAGCAAUGUAUUUGUAGAAUCAUACAUUUUGAAGUUACUACUGAUUUUGUGUAUAUACAUACAUAUAAAUGAUGUUCUCUUCUUGAUUCAUAUGGCAUUUUCUUCUUUGGUAUAUGCCGAAAAGUGACAAGUUUGCUCUAGGGUUUUACUUGAAGUGAGGUUAGAUAUGGUUUUUUUUUUUUUUUUGUGUAUAUAAGUGUUUACAUCAUAGGCAAAUCACUUCCAAUCUAGCCUCUUUUAACAUUUUUGGUUCCUUUCAUCCUCCUCAAUGUGACUUUGGUGCAAGUCGUCUUGAUAUAAAUGUUUGGAGUUUAAGCUUUUGGGUCAAUUUAAUCUUUAACUCAACAUCAAAGUCUCUGUUUUCAAGAUUUCCUGGUGCUCAUAAGAUGUUUAAAUUGAUACCCAAGUGGAAUUCUAGGACAAAUAUAUAUAUAUAAAAAAAAAAAAGUAUUUGUAGUAGUAACACAUUAUAUAAGAGGAAAACGUAAUUCAAAAAAAGAAAAAAGAAAAAAGAAAACAUAUAUACCAAGUAUCAUGUAUCAACGCACUUCAAACGAUUUUCUAAAUUUUUAAUAUUUUUUUCAAAUACUUAACUUUAAAAAAAUUAAAUAAAUAACACUUUAAAAAGUGCUUUUAAUUCUAAUAGAAUCACUUUUAAACGAAUUUGGAUAUAAAUCAAACAAGUUGAUUUUUAGUGCAUCUAAGGCCCUUUGGGUAAUGUUUUUAAAAAUAAUUCUUUUACAACUUUUGAAAAAAGUUUUUAAAAACGGUUCAUAAUUAUUUUCGGUAUAAAAAAUAGUUUUAUUAGUUUAUUAUCCAUAAAGAUAUCAUAUACUUAUCUACUAUGUAAAAGUUUUUAUUUCCAAUUCAUGAAUGAGAUCAGAAACCCAUCCACAUCUACUCACUUUUCCAUCCCCACCCAUGGAGAAGAAGAAAAAGGAAAAUUUUGGGUUCCCCAUGGAACAACACCAAAUUGAGGUAUAUGCAUGGAUGAAAAUUUCGCUAAAUAUUGAUAUAUUGCAUAUCAGGGGAUAUGGAAAUAUCGGCUAGGCAAAAUUUCAAGAAAAAUCGCUGAAAAUCGCCAAUAUUUCCCUAUAUAUCGGUGAUUUGGUGAUAUUUCGCCGAUUUUUCCCAAUUUUUUCAGGUGGUCAACACAGGUCAACACAUGUUACAAUGAAGGCUUAAACUUGCUGUUAAGGGGGCUUGAACCCCAAACAAAAGGCUUAAACUUGCUAUUGAAGGUACUUGAACCCCAAACAAAUUAAAGGCUUAGCUAAGCUUGGCCUACCCUUGUUUAAUAUAUUGCACCAAACAUGUUUAUAUUGAAAUUCAUCAAAUAAAACAAAUAUUAAAAGAAUAUUUUAGAGAACAAAAUAAUUAUAAUAUUUUAUAAUUAAAUAAAAAAAUUCAUUUAAUUGAUUACCAAAAAUAUAAAAGUUAUCAUGAUAAUUUUCUUCAUAAUGUUUUUAAUAUCAUUAAUAGAUUAAUUAAAUAUUAUAAAAUUAUAUAUAUAUAUUCUAUAUCAUUUAAUACAAUUGAAUUAAAUGAAUCAUAAUUUUAAUAAUAAAUAUAUUUUAAAAUUAAACAUAUUAUAAUCAAUAUCACAAUAUUAUUAUGAAAUAAUAUUUGAUGUAAUUUAAUAAUAAAUGUACACUUAUAAAAUUCAUAUAUUUUUAUCAAUACAUAGAAUAUUAUUAUCAAAUAUGAUAAAUCAUAAUAUGCAUAUAUCAAAUUCUUCAACAAAACGACUUUAAAAUAUUUAUUAUAUUUCUAAUUAUAUUUUUAUAAGGUUUUUCUUACAUUUCCAUGAAUUUUGAUCAAUUUUUGGUCUUUCGAUAUUUUUUUCCAAAAUAUCUAUCGAUAUAUCCGUAAAAUCGAAGUACCGAUAUAUUCGUGAUUAUUGAUAUUUUCAUCUUUGGGUAUAUGCAAGCUUUCAAUGAUGGGUGUGUUAAUUUAGAUCUUUCAAUCCAAUGGCCCAAAAUGAACUUGGAAUCUGGUUGUGUUUUGCUCCAUUAAGGCACUACAAUGAAUUCCAUGAUUAAGAUUUUGUUACAUGUUGUGGUUUGGAUCCGUGUGCCCAUUUGGACCCAAAACCCUAAUUUCGGUUAUUUUUUAGGAAAUAUUGAAUCUCACUUCAUUAGGGUUUAAUAUGUAAACAAGUAACCGAUAAAAAACUACCACAAAGUGACAAAGUAAAACUCUGUAAAAAGGGUCUUCACAUAUGAAAAUUUAAUACUAAAUCCACUUAUUGAUGCUUUUGGUCAUAAUGCCUAUAGAAAACUUAAAAGCGAGCUAGAAUGUAAAAGUAUAAGUGAAGAUGCAAAAAAAAUAUUAUAUUUUCUAAUUUUUGUAUAUCAAUCUUAAUUAGGUCAUUUCCUAUUGCAAAAAAAAAAAAAAAAAAAAAAAAAAAAAAAAAAACUUGAAAUUUUUUGUACUUGUUAUAAAAUAUUUAUUUGUAAGUCUAAAAGUUAGCUCAUUGGAAGCUCUAAAUCUAUUGGUAUGAACAAUUGGAUUACUUAAUUUGAUGGUAUCUUAUUCAUUUUUUUUUUUUAAAUUAAUCUUUAAAUUUAUUUGUUUCUUUCAUUAUUGGUCAUGUUUCUUGGUAAAUAAUGUUGUCCAUUUGUGGCAAUUUUCCUAGAAAUCACGUUGUAUCUUAUAAUCUCAUACACCAAGAUCAUGUUUGAUUUCAAAUUCAGUUUUGUGGAAUUAUGAAAGGUAUCUUUUGAAGUGACACCUUCAAUAUAAAUUCAAUUUUUUUUCAAUGUGUGACCGAUAUGAAAAUUAUGGAAAGACGUCUCUUAAGAGACACCUUUAAUAUAAAUUUAUGAAAUUGUGGAAAAUGUCUUUUAAAGAGACAGUUAUAGAAUAAAUUCAAUUUUGUAAAAUUGUAGGUGUCUCUUCAAAAGACACCUUUACUAUAAAUUAAAAAAAUUUCAAUAUGUGGCUGAUAUGAAAAUUAUGGAAGGUGUCUCUUCAAGAGAUAGUUUCUGACAUGAAAAAAAACUACAAUAAUUCCUUAAUAGCUUCACAAGUACCCCUUUUUAAUUUCUUUUGUUUUUAUAAUUCAUUGUAGAAAUUAAAAAAAAACCCUUUCCAAGAACCAAGCAUAGUUUAAAUAAUGUUGAUAAUUUUCUACUGAUUCUCCCCAAACUUUUAUUGGAAACUAACAUAAUGGGGCUUAUUAUAGAAUUUUUAAUCUACCUAUCAUUUUGUUGGUCUUCAAAACCACUUUACAAAAUUCAAAACAAAAAAAAAAAAAAAACAAAACAAAAAUAGAGGGAACAUAGAUUUCUAGCUUUUAAAAAUAAAAAAAUAAAAUAAAAUAAAACCCAACAAUUUCUUAAAGUAGGUUUUGGACCUAAUGAAAUACAUAGCAGUUAAACAAUGUUAAAUGACAUAUGACUGUUUGAAAACAAUGUUAAAGACAUUAGUUCGAUCACUGUGAUUCUUAUUACAGCUAGAAUUUUAUUUAUGUAUCUUUUUGUUCGUGUAUCACAUUAUAGAGUCUACCAUUGUGAGAACUAAUGCCCCUUAAGCUUCAACACUCAUCUCAAUUUUAUGAAGGUUCUUUUAAUUAUUAUUUUGAAUUGGGAUUUGGCCACAACCUAAAUUAACCAAGAAUUGACAAUUGAGACAAACUCAUACUCCAAAUCCAAUUGGUUGAACUAAUUGCACUAUGGAAUGCUCAUAAUGUUGGUUCGGUUCAAUAAUUGAGUCGCUACCGGUAUCAAACUGAAAACAAACUAACUAAACUAUCAUUCAACUCUUUGGACCAAUUCUAUGGUCCGUACUGUCAAUUUGGUUUAGCAAUCUAGUCGUGCUAGGUAAUGAAUUGAAAACAAAGUUGGGUUGUCUCUUGACCAGUGAACCCAAUAUAUUAGAAUGUAAAAGGCAAAUGAUAAUUAUGCAUGCGCUACUUUUGUGUUUGUUGUAGUGUUAAAUUAUUUUGAAUGUGUAUUCAUAUGUUAUCAUUUUUAAUAAUUAAAUAUAUUGUAGCAAAGUGCAAAAGGCAAAUAAUAAUCAUGUCUCUUGCUACUUUUAUGUUUAUUGUAGAGGCAAAUUAUUUUGAAUGUGUAUUUAUAUGUUAUCAUUUUAUAAUUAAAUAUAUUAUUUAUCAAGAUUUAUACAAUAAUGUAAACUUAAUAAUUUUUAAGAUAAUAGAGUAGGAUAAUGUAAUGGAUAAAAUUUUAUUAUUUCAUUCUAGAAUAUAUCAUUGAAAUAGUAAAUCAUAAAUAUUAUAUAUUCAUACUAUUUAAUAAAUAUACAAAUAUGGAAAUGAUAUAUGUUGACAAUUUUGUUCAUUUUAAUGUUUAACCUUAGAAGUCUUUUUAAAUAAUGACUUACUCUUCAUUGAAGAUCAAGAGUUGUUGUUCGUCCAAUUGGGAAGUCAUAGGUAUGUCUAAAAAUGUUUGGCUUAUAGCAAAUUAGGCUCCCAAGAGGUAUAAAGAGAAACAAUACCUUCUUAAUUAAAGAAAAUUGAUUUUUUAUGAAUAUUGAAAGAAAUAGGGGAUGCUUGAGUGGAAAGCAACACUCAAGCGCUAGGAUCGCUCAAUCGCUUAGCAUUGUUCAAGUGCCCAAGGUGCUCAAGUGAUGGUUAAGUGUGCCCAAGGCGCUCACGAUUUUUCUGCUGAGAUUUGGAAGAUAUUUUUGAGAAUUUCAUGCAAAUCUCAUUUGGAAACCUUAUGAUACCAAAUCUCUUUGAGAUAUUUGCCUAUAAAUACCUCAUUAUAACCCUUCUAGGGUUAAAGAUUGGAGAGAUUUCGAAGAAGUCUCCUUGAGAGAAAGCAUAAUGAGCCACACUAUUCUCGAUCUCUCAUUCGAAGGAUUCAAGCAUUGAAUCUUAGGUUGAAGACUUUCAUCCCUUCAGCAAGGUUGAAGAGUAUUCAUUGGAGCAAUCAGAGGUUGCUACGUUGCGGAUGUGGAUCAAGUUGUAGGUACUUGAAAGUAAGUCUUUAGAGUAAAGUGAUCAAGUAAAUAUGUAUAACUUGAUCUCAUAUAGUAGAUUUAGAUUAACAGUCCUAAACCUCAUGAUUUUUUAUCUCGAUAGUUAGUGUGGGGGUUUUCCACAUAAACAUCCUUAUGCUUGAUUGCAUAUCUUUAUUAUCUUAUUUGCAUUGCCUAUUAUGAAAAAAUUUGAUAAUAGUGACUAAGUAUAUCCCAAACAAUUGCUAUAAUAAUGUGCAAAUACAUAUAGCAUGUGUUUAUUUUAUAGAAAUUUUUUAUUUAUACAUAAUUUCACAUAUUUUAUAGGAUAUUUCUCAGAUUUUAUCUACAAUCAUAUUGAAUAUUCAUAAAGCUAAUUUCAUUAUUCAUUUAUUAUAAUGGUAAUAUUCAAUUUAUUUUUUAUUUAUUUAUUUUUUAUUUGAUUUUUCUUAUUUAUGUUGAAUAUUAUAAUGAUAAUAUUAAAUUUAUUUUUUAAUUACAUAACUGUAACUAAUAUGAUUAUCACUACUGAUUGCUGAAAAGUUAAAUUGUAGAUGUUAUGAUUCAUUAUUUAUGUUGAAUGAGAAUUAAGCAGUUAAAUGUGAAAGAGGGACUUCCCACCUCUAUUUCUUUUCUAAAAAUGAGCGACUGUCUCCUACUAAAACAUCAAUACCAAUUCUGGAAAGAGGAAGAAUAGCAACAUAUAGCUCACAUUUCACACAUUGUGGUAUAAAUGAUUUUCUUCAAAAGGCAAUAAGUUGUGAUUGAAACUUUCUAGUCAUAUUGUUUUCUUCCUGCUUAGUACAUGUUUUAUCACUCUAGGGUUUAAUCCUUCAACAAUACUUUCUGUUAUCUCGACUGCCUUUAAUUAACCAUAAACUAACUACUUUUUAUAUCGACUUUGCCUUAAGGAAUUGUGAAUUAAUUGGAUCUACUCAUACUACCACCCUAUAAAUUUUCUUCCCUGCUAACUUUACGUAGUUAAUGUUAGAAAAGUUAAAAACAUUUUCUAAAUUCAUUGUCAAAUACACUCUUAAUUAUGAUAAAAUCAAUAUAACUCAUAACAUGUUUAGAUGAAUAUGUGAGAAUUAGAACCCUUUUAAUAUUUGAAAGCAUUUUUUUCCCAUAAAAUUUGAUAUUUUUUAUAAAAUUAAUAAUUAUUUUUAAAAAUAUAAAAUAAUCAUUGAAGUAAUUUUUAAACUAGUAACUAAUAGAUGUUUCUUUUAAUUAUUUUUAUUAUGUAAUAUAUCAUCAAAAAUACUAUCAAGUCACUUUCUCAUGCAAUUUGACUAAAUCAAAAUAGAUCUUAAUAUUAUUAAAUAUCAAUUUGUUUUUAUUGUUGAAGUCUUAACUUUUUUUCCUAGUGAUGUAUUACUAUUGCUAUGAGUUAAAUGAACAAUCUUUAUCCUUAAAAAUAAUUUAUUUUAUUUUAGCUAUUGUAAAUAAUUUUGAUAAAGAUAUUUUGAAACUAAUAAUUUAAAAAUUAUUAAUUUGAUAUAUUUAGGAACAUCCUUAAAUAUUAAAAUAUAUAUAUAUAUAUAUAUAAUUAUGGACCCCGCAUUUCGGCUCAUGCGUUUCCCACUCGAUAGCGAGCUCAAAUUUUAUUUGAAAAAUGAUUUUAAUUGUUUAAGAAAACUGACUUGGAGUCGCCACUUAUUUUUGUUUUAUUUUUAAAGGGUAAACAAAAUAAGAAAGAAAACCCUAAGUGCGACUCCUUGUUUUGGAAAAGGUGGCCUAUGAAAACCGGAUCGGGCUCGGGGGUCAGGUUACUUAUCGGGAAGGUACGGUAUGAACCGUAGCACCCCUCUAAGUCCCUAAAGUCGGGUCUCUACUAAUAGAAUGAAGUUGACGUGGUCAUCAACAAGAAAAACAAUGAACACUCAAAUCGAUCGUGCACAAUAUGAGAAUCAGAAUAUGCAUACAGAAUGAUCAAAACAAGAAUGAGUGCGUACCUGGACCUCCAGUCACGAAUGCGCUGUAGAAAAGAAUCCGUGAGUUCCUUUCUUGCCCAUGAUCAGCCUCCCGAUUGUCCUUCUCCUCCUGGAAACUCUCUGCCCUCCCAAUAUCUUUUUUUUUUCUUCCCCCUCUUGUUUCCUCCUCCCGCAAGCCAAUAUCCACUCCUCUGUUCCCCUGCUCCGCAUGUCUGGAGCCCCAACCACCACUAUGGUUGUGGUCAGUUGCUCUCCACACUUUUCAUGCAGCUGAUGUUUCCAGAAAACGGUCCCCGCCCCAGCCUUUCUCGAGUUGACACGCAUAAAACCUCAUAAAUGCUCCACCUGAUAAGAAACGGCUGCAGCUAGAUGGGGGUCUACAAAUAUGCCCCUCUUUAGUAGAGUUCACGAAUGUAAAAGACAUGAACACUAGAGUGAAAAGAAAGUGUGAAUAGUGAGUGGAAUGAAGUGGACUCUACUGAAGAACCAAGGAGACCCCCAUAGGGACACUGGUGAAACACGAACUCGCUCAGACUAACAGAUGGACAACGAGGCUCUAAUCCCAAUAAGGAAGGAUGUCUCAAAAUGUCUCUAAAGUCACACUGAGGACCCAGGCUCUCUCUAAGAUGUCUCCAAAAGUGACUCGAAAGACCAUAUCCAAGAUGAGUAACUGUCGAACCACUCUGAAGUACAUGAAAGAAUGCGUCUAAAGGAGACUGUCCUACGCGAACCACAUGAAAGCAACAAGUGUAGGGUGCUCAAUAACAUGACAGAAAUACGUAUCAUAGACUCAAAGGAUCGUGUCAUGAGCAAUGAGGAGGGAAAUCUGGAAGAACAAUGACGAAUAGGCGAUAAGCACAAGGUAACCAGGUGAGGAAAAAAUGAGAGUAAGUGUGAUACCAUGAAAGCCAGAGUGGGCAAUGUCAGUGAAUGUGAAUACCGGGGAACUGUGACUCAGAAUGAUACAAAGGAGGAGAAGUGACUCUGAUCAUCAAUAACACGGAAAGAUGGAGACUCAAGGUGCCCGAAUGGACAAUGUACAACGGCUCUGAACGCCAAACUAAAGAAAGAUGAUGGCGUCGAAUGCCUGAAUGAGCAUGAAAAAUGGCUUUGAACGCUGAAACUAAGAAAAAUAGUGACUCAAAAUACAUGAAUGAGUAUGAAAAACGGCUCUGAACACCAAAAACUAAAGAAAAAAGAAAGUGAUGGCUAUGGAUGUGGAUAUGAGACUACAACUCUGAACAUCAAACUGAGAAUGAAUAACGACUCUGAAUGCCAAAGUGCAAUUGUGGCUCUAAAUGCCAAAUGGGAAAUGUACGAUGACUCUAAACACCAAACUGUAAGCACGGCUCUGAACGCCAAAACGAAACAAGGGCUCUGAAUGCCAAAUGGAAAGCGAGCAAUGGCUCUGAACGCCAAAAUGAAACUAGGGCUCUGAACGCCAAAUGGAAAACGGACGAUGGCUUUGAAUGCCAAACUGAAAGUACGGCUCUGAAUGCCAAACUGAAACAAUGGCUUUGAACUCCAACUAAAAAGAAUGAUGUGAUAACCCCAAAUGUCGAUCCAAAACCGAGGCUCUGAAUGCCAAAUGGAAAACGAACAAUGGCUCUGAAUGCCAAAUGGAAACAAUGGCUCUGAACGCCAAAUGAAACAAUGGCUCUGAACGCCAAAACUAAAAAUGAUAUACUGAUCCUGAAUGUCGAACUAUAACCAUGGCUAUGAACACCAAAUGGAGAAUGAACGGUGGCUCUGAAUGCCAAAUGAAACUAUGGCUCUGAACGCCAAAUGGAAACAAUGGCUCUAAACGCCAAAUGAAACAAUGGCUCUGAACGCCAAAUGGAAAACGAACAAUGGCCCUGAAUGCCAAAUGAAACAAUGGCUCUGAACGCCAAAUGGAAACAAUGGCUCUGAACGCUAAAAUGAAAAAGUGAUAGAAAUGGACGUCGAAAUGAAAACGCGGCUCUGAAUGCCAAAAGAAAAUGAACGACUCAGAACGCCAAACUGAAACGCCAAAUGGAGGAUAGAUCUAGGUGUCAAACUAAAAACGAACAAUGGCUCUGAACGCCACACUGAAAGUAUGGCUCUGAACGCCAAACUAAACUGAAUACCCAUGAACGUCAAGUUGAGAAGGACGACUCUGAAUGUCAAAAUAGAGAAUGACAUGGUGGCUCUAAACGCCGAACUGCAAGGGAAUGAUGGGGGGAAAUAUGCCUCAGUGUAGCAUGUCACCAUAGCUCUCAAUCCAUCGAAAGUGUUUGAAAGAGACUCCAUGAGUCUCAUAAGAUGCUCUAGUAGUGAGUCGAGAUGAUCAAAUCAAAUGAUCCACUAGGGAAUCUCAAAAGAAAGACGAUCUGAUAGGGGUAACCACUGUGAUCUCAAUACAACAAUCUACUGAAGAAUAACAUAUAGCGAGGCAGUCACAACCCGAAUGUCCUGCCCCACUGAAAGCUCAUCUCGAUGAAUAUCGCCAAAACAGUGACCUAUGGAGCAAAUACGAUAUCUCUCGGCCGAGUGGUGAAAACUGUAACAAAUUUGUGAUAGAAUGACCUUCUUCAUAUCCAAAUGAGGGAAAUAUGCCUGGCAUCAGAUGUAUCCAAUCUGUCCCGAUGAAUCAUGAGUAACUCAAUAGGGAUGCAUCGUAGAUCUGACAAGUGUCCCGACAAAAUGAUGAUGUGAGAGUCCACGAGCCUGAGGCGACUCCAUCCAAAAAUCGUAAUGACACCAGAAAGUAUGAGCCUGAUGAAACGACUCAAAGGAAAGCCCACCGGAGAAUCAUGACAAAAUGAAACCGAAUCCUCAACUCGGCAUGUAUCUUGUAACUAGGGAUGAUCAUGCAAACCAGAGGGGAUCUAUGAAUCUCAAUCGAAAUGGAAAAUAUGCCCCAGUAUGGCAUCAAAGGUGUAACAAGCCGGGAAAAUCAAAUGACAUCAAAUCAUGCAUCGACAGAUAUGUAAUCCCGGUCAUCCGAAUCCAUAACAACAUCACACUCAUCAAGCUAAGAUGCAUCUAUCAAAUAGAGGGGCACGAUGGCAUCUGAGCGCCGAGAAGUGCGUGUCUAACUGGAUGACUCCCGAGAGGCUCCACUGAGGAAUCAUCAUGACAAUAGUGAACAAAUCGUUGUCUUAACGCGUGUUCUGUGAGUGGGAACGAUCACGUAACUCCAUGGAGAUCUCCAAACCUCAUCCGAAAUGGAAAUAUGCCCCAGUGUGGCAUCAAACGUACAAUAAGUCGAAAAUCGAGUGAUAUGGAGUCAUCUAUCAUCGGACAUGUGAUCUCCGUGAUCCAAAUCAAAUCCAAACAUCCAGGGAACGUCUCUCAGAAUAAAAAGUAUAAAAACAACCCGAUGUCGAGAAAUGCGGACCUAGAUGAAUGGCUCCACUAGGGAUCCACUAAAGGGAUCAUCAUAAAAUAGCGGAAACAUCAUCGUCUCAACGCAUACCCCGCAGGUGGGGAUAAGCAUGCAACUCCGUAAAGAUCGGCAAAUCUCAUCCAGAACGGAAAUAUGCCCUAAUAUGGCAUCGAAUGUGUGAUAAAUCAGAAAAGAUCAGGUGUCAUCAAAUCAUCCCUCGUCAAAUGCGCUAUCCCGGUAAUCCAAACACAACUGAAACGAAUCUAACCAUCAAAAAGGCGUCUCCCAGAAGAAGAAGCAUGACAAUAUCUAAAAGGCAACCAGAUCUCAAACACCUGUCCAAGCAGAGGCUGUCGAAGACGACAUCUGAUCCCAUGGCCUCAAGGUGGUCUUAAGACACGGGACGUAACGUAGGCUAGGGUGAUAGGGUGAUAGAAAUGAAGGGAAACUAGACCCAAAUACCCAAUGAUCAAAACUCAUGCCCUUAUGUAUAAAAUGCAAUAUGUAUAGAGAAGCCCGUGAGCCAUGGACCUGAAUGUGCCCAACGUGAAUGUGAUAUCAAUAACGAGGUGAUGAAGAAAAAUGAUCUGAUAGCCGGAUGUGUAAGAAUGAUGCAUGUGAAGUGUCAAACUAGGAAUAAAAGGGUGUGGUAAGAAAAAAAUGGCAAAGGGUGAUAUGAGAAUGAUGAAUCAAAAACGAAGACGAGAAUGAUGAUGAAAUGAGCAAUAUAAAGGGGAGUAGUGAUCAACUCAAAUCAGACAUGGAGUGAAGUCACAUCAACAAUGAACGUAAUGAUGGAUAGAACAAUGACCCGGAGUCCUUAGGAGAAGGCCACUCAUCUCGCUCUCAAAACAUAAGACAAAAUGAAUACAAAGAAUGAAGGGUCUCGGGAAGCUCACAUACGAACUCCCAUCAACAAACAUACUCGAUACAGUGACCCUCGAAUAUUAACAUACACGCCCAGCAAUGGAGAAUACUAUGCACAUACACACAUGUGCUUAUUUUUCUUUCCUUUUCGGUUUUUUUUUUUUUUUUUUUUUUUUUUUUUUUUUUUUUUUACAUAUAUACAAAAGCACAUACCCUGAACAUAAACAAAUGAACCCCAAAGAUGAUAUCAAUAAUGAAUAGACACACUCCCAAGUGCUAAGGUAACAAAAACUCUCUCUGACAAGAUGACCUUCUCAAACUAAGGAUCUCUAAAUCAGUGUCCGUAUGAUAAAUAGUGGAAAUGAUGUAACUAUCCCCCCAUGUAAUGAACUGAGGAGGAUUACCGCUCGAGGUGGAGAGAAUAUGAAGCAAAACAAGUAGAUAGAAUAAAGAAUGAGAGAUGAAAAACACAACUAAUGAGAUAUGAAGGAAUGCAGUAGGAAAAAAUAAUGAGAGAAAGAUGCACCUGUAGGUCCAAGGCUCAUGAGGCUUCCAAACAAUGCAUGCAUACACUAAAGGGCCCCAAUCCCGAUGUAAAAAUGUGAGUAAGGUGAUAAGAUAGAAAUGCUAUAAUGCACACGCGAGACUCAAUGGGCUAGCAAUGGUUUAUACGUCAAAAGGGAAUAACAAGGUAUAUGGCUAAACCGAAAUGAUGGCCACCCAUCCUGCGACCAUGGUCUCAAACAUAGUACCUCUUUAGCUGAUCCACGUUGGUAGGCUCCGAGAAUUGGUUUCCAUCUAGAUCCAUCAACCAUGCAGCGCCCUCUGGAGUCAACUCUCUGAUGAAGUAAGGUCCGCUCCAAUUGGGUCUGAACUUCCCUUAGGAUCUCUGAUCAAUCCCCUGAUGACCUUCAGAACCAAGUCACCUACAUGUAGUGGUCUGGGCUUGACCCGCUUUUUGAAAGCACGGGCCAUCUUCCUCUGAUAUGCGCGAACAUGGUCAGCUACCCUCAAUCUCCUCUCAUCAAGGAGAUUGAGCUGAUCAAAUCGAGCCUGAGCCCAAUCUGCCUCGGGAAUCUACUGCUCUGAUGCUACUCUCAAUGAACCCAUUUCAAUCUCAACUGGUAGCACUGCCUCCAUACCAUACACCAAUGAAUAGGGUAUGGCCCCUAUAGAGGUGCGAAAAGAAGUCCGGUAAGCCCAUAAUGCGUAAGGGAGCUUCUCUGACCAAUCCCGAGAAGUCUCAACCAUCUUCCGUAAAAUCCUCUUAAUAUUCUUGUUCGCGACCUCUACUGCCCCAUUCGUCUGGGACCUAUACGCAGAUGACCUAUGAUGUUGGAUGCCAUAUCUCUGCACUAAGGUGUCAACCUCUACUCUGAAAUGCACCCCUCUGUCUGAGAUCAACUCAUGAGGGACUCCGUAUCGGCAGAUGAUGUGUGAUCUAAUGAAACUAGCAACUCCAGAUGACGUCAAUCUCGCAUAUGAGGCGACCUCCACCCACUUGGUGAAGUAAUCAAUAACGACAAGGAUAAACUCAUGACCACUGGAAGAUUUCGGCGAAAUCUUCCCGAUGAUAUCGAUACCCCACACUGAAAACGGCCAUGGUGAAGUCAAUGCAUGCAACUCUGAGGGCGACACGUGAAUGAGAUCUCCAUGUAUCUAACACUCGGGACAUCUCUGAACGAACUGGCAACAAUCCAUCUCCAUGGUCAGCCAAAAAUAGUCAGUCCUCAUGAUCUUACGAGCCAACAUAUGUCCUCCCAUAUGUGGUCCGCAGACUCCCGAAUGAAUCUCUCUCAUCACUCGAUCGACAGAGGCGCGGUCCAAACAUAAUAGCAACAUCCCGUCAGGUGAUCGUCUAUAUAACAUCUCGCCACAAAUCAUGAAUCGGGCCGCUAACUGUCUCAAUGCUCUCUUAUCCUUGGCUGUAGCGGUCUCAAGAUAUACGCUGAGUCUCAAAAAAUGAUAUAUGUCAUGGUACCAAGGCAAACCAUCAUCUGGUUCCGCAUCAUCAAUCAAGCAACAGUAAGCGGGAGUGGAUCUCGACUCGAUCAAUAAAAGACGAACAGUGGCAUCAGCACGAAUAUCGAUCAUGGAAGCUAGAGUAGCUAAGGCAUCAGCAAAUUGAUUCUGCGCUCUAGGCAGGUGCGUGUAUCUCAAAUCGUCAAAUCUAGCGACCAGUAGCUCCAAAUAUGUGUGAUAAGGCCUGAGCUUCGCAUCUCUAGUCUUCCACUCACCCUGAAUCUAUCUCAAUACCAAAUUGGAGUCACCAAACACCUCCAUCUGUCUAAUCUCGAGCUCAAGGGUCGUCUCCAAUCCCAAGAUACAAGCCUCAUACUCAACAAUGUUGUUCGUGGCCGGAUGUCGAUCCGAGAAUGCCAAACGAACAGAUCUGGGAAUGUGAUCACCGUGAGGGGAUAUCAACAAAACGCCUAUCCUGCAUCCAGAAUGGUUGGCUGCACCAUCAAAGUACAUGCGCCAACCCGACAGACUAGUCACAACUACAACAUCCUCAUCUGGAAAAUCAUCGUCAAUAGCUCUAGCAUCAGAAACUGGUAAAGAGGCUAAGUGAUCUGCGACAAUGCUCCCUCUAAUGGACUUCUGAGUGACGUAAUGGAUGUCAAACUCCGUUAGAAGUACCAACCAUCUCAUGAGGCGACCAACUAGAGCAGGUCUAUCAAACAAAUAUCUCAGAUGAUCGAGACGGGAUAUCAAGUGCACGGAAUACUCAGUCAUGUAAUGUCUCAAUCGGCGAGUGGCCCAAACCAAUGCCAAGCAAUAGCGCUCAAUCAUGACAUAUCUCGUCUCAUAGUCUAGCAUCCUCUUACUCAGAUAGUAAAUGGCUCGGUCUUUGCCCAAAUUAUCGAGUUGAGCUAACAUGCAUCCCAAAGCCACGUCUGAGACUGAUAAGUAUAGGAGUAGAGGGCGGCCCGGUGUAGGAGGCGCUAAGACUGGAGGUGACAACAAGUACUCCCUGAUCCUCUCGAAUGCGCGCUGACACUGAUCAUCCCAAACAGUAGGUUGACUCUUCCUCAAGAAUCGGAAAAUGGGCUCACAGAUGUCUGUCAAUCUGGCAAUGAAUCUACUGAUGUACUGAAGUCUGCCCAGGAAGCCUCUGACCUCUCUCUCUCUGUCCUCGGUGUAGGCAUGUCAAGGAUGGCUCUAAUCUUGUCCGGAUCUACCUCUAUGCCUCGCUCACUGACCAUAUAUCCCAAGAGUUUCCCAGAAGUCACUCCAAAAGUGCACUUCUUGGGAUUCAGUCUCAAUUUGAACUGUCUGAUCCUCUCAAAGAAUCUCUCUAGAGCUGCCACGUGAUCUGAUCUAUCUCGGGAUUUCACUAUCAUGUCAUCUACAUAAACCUUGUGUAGACCCUCAAUUUUGUCCUCCUGGCACAUGUCUUAUUAGAUACUUGUUCGAUACUUUACAGUUAGCUCCUUGGUGGCCCAUAUCUACUCACACUACUUACCUUUCUUGAACCACCUCGGAGACUCUGGUUGAAAGAUUGCCUAACCCCUUAUCAUGACCUUGGCAGCCCUAAUUUAGACUUAGGCACUUUCCUGAACGCUUUAGGCCCAUUUAAGCAUUUUUAAACCCACUUUUUAUAUGGCUUGCAUGAUUGCAUGGCCUACAUGACUUAUGUGGCUUAUAUGGAUUUCUUCAUUAUUUUUAUUUUAUUUUAUUUUAUCUUAUUACAAGUUUUCUAAAUCUUAUUUCUUGGCUUUUUGGGCAUGAGGAAACGAGCCAACAUCUAUUUGGAAGGAGAAUCAACAGAAUUUUGAAAAAGAGGAGAUUUUGUUUUUAGAAGGAUAGCACAUAUAUUAUUUCCAUGGGAGAAUCGGUUAUAAAAGGGUAGAAAAUAAGAAAGGAAAGUGGAUUUCCUUUUUUUGGAUCAGAGAAGUUUUAUUUUUGGAAGGGGGGGAUUGUUUUUCUUGAGGAGAGAGAUCUAAGACAAGGGGGACUUUUUCUUUGGCAGGGAGAUUUUUUUUCUUUUGGGAGCAGAAAUUCACAUACAAAAAGCAAUCUUUUUUAGAGGAGAGGAAGACACGCAUUUUUUUUGGGGGGGGGGGGGGGCCAGUAGAAAAACCUAAAAGACUAAUUGGGCUGCCAUUUUGAAACAUCAAGAGAGUAUUUUUCCGAUACAAUACAGGUUAGUUUUCGAUUUUUGAUACCGUAUUUCCUUUUUUUAGUUUGGGUUUUAGUUGUUUGAUUUAAUUAAUUGUUUGUGAUAAAUUCCUUUUAAUCUCGAUUUCGAACAAUCUUUUAUUUUUUUUAGAUAANNNNNNNNNNNNNNNNNNNNNNNNNNNNNNNNNNNNNNNNNNNNNNNNNNNNNNNNNNNNNNNNNNNNNNNNNNNNNNNNNNNNNNNNNNNNNNNNNNNNCCAUUUUUUAUAUGGUUGCCAUGAUGCCAUGCCCAACAUGAUUUAUGUGGUUUAUAGGGAUUUUUUCAUUAUUUUUAUUUUUUUUUUUUUUAUUUUAUAACAAUUUUUUUAAUUUUUUUUUUUGGGUUUUUGGGGCAGGGGAAAAGGAGCCAACUUUUUUUUGGAGGGAGAUUCAACAAAUUUUUAAAAAAGGGGAGUUUUUUUUUUUAAAAGGAUACCACAUUUUUUUUUUCCUUGGGAGAUUGGUUUAUAAAGGGGUAAAAAAUAAAAAAGAAAAGGGGUUUUCUUUUUUUUGGUUCAGAAAAUUUUUUUUUUGGAAGGGGGGGGUUUUUUUUUUUUGGGGAGAGAGUUUUAAGCCAGGGGGGAUUUUUUUUUUGCCGGGGAGUUUUUUUUUUUUUGGGGGGCAAAAUUUCACAUACAAAAACCAUUUUUUUUUAGGGGAGGGGAAGCCACCCAUUUUUUUUUGGGGGGGGGGGGGGGCAGUAGAAGACCUAAAAGACUAAUUGGGCUGCCAUUUUGAAACAUCAAGAGAGUAUUUUUCCGAUACAAUACAGGUUAGUUUUCGAUUUUUGAUACCGUAUUUCCUUUUUUUAGUUUGGGUUUUAGUUGUUUGGUUUAAUUAAUUGUUUGUGAUAAAUUCUUUUAAAUCUCGAUUUCGAACAAUCUUUUAUUUUUUUUAGAUUAAAUGUCUCUCUUUUAUGAUUGCAAUUCAUUAGUUCUAUGCUAGUUUAUUUUUAAUUUACAUGAAAGUUUAAAUAAAGUUUAUAUUUUUAAUUCCAAUUAGUUUAUUUUUAAAUUUGAAUGAGUUAUCGAUCUUAAUUCUUUAGUUUAAUUGACCUUGUGAGAUAAAAUUUAUAUUUUUUAUGCCAAUUAGUUUAAUUUUAGUUUAUUUUAAAUUUAAAUGAGUUAUUGAUCUUAAUUAUUUAGUUUAAUUGACCUUGUGAGAUAAAAUUUAUAUUUUUAAUUCCAAUUAGUUUAAUUUUAGUUUAUUUUUAAUUUGAAUGAGUUAUUGAUCUUAAAUCUAUUAGUUUAAUUGGACUUGUAAGGUAAAGUUUAUAUUUUUAAUUCUGAUUAGUUUAAAUUUUAGUUCAAUUUUUAAUUUGAAUGAGUUAUUGAUCUUAAAUCUAUUAGUUUAAUUGGACUUGUAAGGUAAAGUUUAUAUUUUUAAUUCCUAUUAGUUUAAAUUCUAGUUUAAUUUUUAAUUUGAAUGAGUUAUUGAUCUUAAAUCUAUUAGUUUAAUUGGGCUUGUAAGGUAAAGUUUAUAUUUUUAAUUCCGAUUAGUUUAAAUUCUAGUUUAUUUUUAAUUUGAAUGAGUUAUUGAUCUUAAAUCUAUUAGUUUAAUUGGACUUGUAAGGUACGUAAAGUUUAUAUUUUUAAUUCCGAUUAGUUUAAAUUCUAGUUUUUUUUUAAUUUGAAUGAGUUAUUGAUCUUAAAUCUAUUAGUUUAAUUGAUCUUGUGAGGUAAAAUUUAUAUUUUUAAUUUCAAUUAGUUUAAUCCUAGUUUAUUUUUAAUUUGAAUAUGUUAUUGAUCUUAAUUCUUUAGUUUAAUUGGUCUUGUAAGGUAAAAUUUAUAUUUUUAAUUCCAAUUAGUUUAAUUCUAGUUUAUUUUUAAUUUGAAUAGUGUUAUCGAUCUUAAUUCUUUAGUUUAAUUGAUCUUGUGAGAUAAAAUUUAUAUUUUUAAUUCUAAUUAGUUUAAUUUUAGUUUAUUUUUAAUUCGAAUGAGUCAUUGAUCUUAAUCUAUUAGUUUAAUUGGUCUUGUAAGGUAAAGUUUAUAUUUUUAAUUCCGAUUAGUUUAAAUUCUAGUUUAUUUUUAAUUUGAAUGUGUUAUCGAUCUUAAUUCUUUAGUUUAAUCGAUCUUGUGAUGUAAAGUUUACAUUCUUAAUUCCAAUUAGUCUAAUUCUAGUUAUUCAUGUGUUUCUUGAAAUUUAAAUGUUAGUUUUUGGAUGAUAAUUUUGUUAGUUUGUUUGAUUAGGAAGUCAUAAAUUUGUUGCCUUAGUGAUUGUUGGUCAAAUUUUUUUUUUAGGGCCACUAGAAACCCAAGAAAGUUGGCCUUUACUCUCACCACUUUAAUUGACAAGAUUUUCUAAAAUAUUUAUUUCGUGAUCUUUGUUUUCUUUUGUUUUGAUUGAUAUUUUGUUUUCUAUUUUUGUUAUUUUAAAAAUUAAUUUCUUUUAUUUUAAAACAAAACUCUUUUUCUCAAAAAAAUCGUUUUUAAAAUUUUUUUUAUUAUUCAUUUAAAGCCUUUAGAAUCAAAAUCUAUUUUCUUUUUAAAAAAUAAUAUGCAACCAUAUCUUAAUCGGUUUGCAUCCUUCUCAAUUUUCAACAAAAAUUUUGGUUUUAAACAAAACGCGAAUCAAAGCUUGUGGUCCCAAAUAAAUGGGACAAUUUUAGGCUAAAUUCGUGUAUAUUAAUUUGAGGAAUUGGUGAAACCCCUACAUAAGAAAAAAUUUUCAAAAUUUACUUUUGCUACCACCCUGCUAUUUAUCGUAAUCAUAUUUACAUUUUUUUUUUAGGAAUUGUAUACAAGAUAUGUAUGAUAAUUAAUUAUUCCGAAUUCUGAUCAUUUUUGCUAAUUAAUUAGAUAAGCAUGCUAGGAUUUAUUAUUUAUUAUUUAUCAUCUAACCCCCAUGUCCUGAGGAAGUGCAUUAGGAGUUAUAUAUGCUAUCCAGGUACGUUCCCAAAAUUUCACGAAUAUGCAUGUCAUUGCCCUUGUUUGAUGCCAUACUUGAUUGCCUCAAUGCUUGUUUGAUCAUCCUUGAUAAAAUGCAUGUCGUGCGUCAUAUUUCUGAAUUAACCAUUGAUGUUUUAUGAUAGCGCUUAAGAAGUGGUUCAGGUACACACCCUAACUCUCCUUUAUUGUGAUUGAUCUCCUUAUUUAGCAUGCUACUUUCUGAAAAUCACAUAGCUUACUUAGGUAUCUACAAUUAAUCAAUUAAUUUACCCAUUUCCCCAAUUUAGUCAGUAAAGACCUCUUUAGGGCUUAGAAGGGUGCUAGCUCCUAGAGGUACCUUCCCAAUAAGUAACCUGAUCCCCGGACCUAGACUCAGGUUUUUCAAAGACAUGCUUUUUUCCAAAAAUUAUGGAGUCACAUUUUAGGGUUUUUCUUUCUUGUUUUAUUUUCCCUUUAAAAUAAAAAUAAAAUAAGUGGCGGCUCUAACUUUUUCCAAAAUUAAUUUUUCACAAAUAAAAAUCGAGUCUCGCCGAUCGAGUGGGGGCGCACGUGAAAAAUGCGGGUCCACACCUCGACAUCCUGAUGCAUCAUGUCAUGGAAGAGUGUGGUCGCUGCUCUCUGAUAAGUGGCUCCUACGUUCUUCAAUCCGAAUGGCAUGACUCUAUAGCAAUAAGUGCCCUACUCGGUAAUGAAGGACGUCUUCCCCAUGUCCUCUGGAGCCAUCAAGAUCUGACUGUACCCGGAAAAUCCGUCCAUAAAGGACAACAUCGAGUAACCUGUUGUACUAUCAACUAGCAUGUCGAUGUGCGGGAGAGGAAAAUCAUCCUUAGGACUGGCCUUGUUGAGAUCUCGGAAAUCAACACAGACUCUCACUUUGCCGUCCUUUUUGGGAACAGGGACGACAUUGGCCAACCACUCCGGGUACUCAACCACUGAUAGAAAUCCCACACUGAGCUGCUUUUGAAUCUCCUCUUUCAUCUGCAAGCUCCAACGAGGGUGCAAUCGUCUCAACUUCUGCUUAACCGGUCUGGCAUGAGGCAGAAGUGGUAAACGAUGCUGGACGAUAGAUGGAUCAAGGCCCGGCAUGUCCUCAUAGGACCAUGCAAAAAUGUCUAAGUAUGCUCUGAGCAACUGGAUGAGGAUGUCCCUCUCAUCAGCAGAUAAAUCUGACCCGAUCCUCAACUCCCUAGGCUGAUCUGCUGUGUCGAAAUCAAUAAUCUCUGUGUCCCCUACAGCAGGUGAAACCCUCUGAUCAAUGGGAUCCGAAUCGGAAACAGAAGAUGAGUCAUCGUCUGAACCAUGCCGUGCAAUCCCAUCAUCAAUGUCAAAUAUCUGUGUUGUGAGUGAAGAUGGGGCAGAUAAAUCAAUAUCAUAAGAGACAGGUAAGUACUCGAAAAUGCUCAAAUCCAUAGAUGAAAAGUCAGAAACAUAGUCAUGACGGGAAACAAAUCCCAAUAAAACAUCAAAUGAAAGAGGUGAGUCCACAAAGUCGGACACUCCCUCAACAAGGCCAACAGGGCCAUCAAGCAAAUCACCAACAACUAUAGGAUCCUCAGCAAUCUUCGAAGCAGGGGCAGUCUGGAUCUCCUCGACGACCUUGAGGACGGACAUCCCGAAGAGAUCAAAUGGUGAAACGAGCCUAGACAGGGCUAUCUCCUCGAUCUGACUCAAGCUCACUGCAAGCAUCUCGUCAACAUACUCGUCAUGCGGUACGGCUCCGUCUACUAUGUCACUAAUCUCGAAAAAUGUCCUGUGAUCAUCGAUCUCAUUCGGGAAGCAAAGCAUCAUAAGGCUCGUACAAUCGGGAGAGGAAGGGGCGAUCAACGCAGAAGUCAAAGGGCCAGGGGCUUCGUCACUCAACUGUAACUGCUGGACGAGGCGCUGAAGCUCGGCCUCUUGGGUGGUGCUGAGUCCUCCGAUGAUCCCAUCAGACAGUGCAUGUGACUCUGAUGCCCUCACAAAGUAAUUGGCUAGGCUCAUGGUGUAUAGGCGAACAGGAUAAUAAAACAGCGUGUGAGUCAGCCGAGCCCUCACCCUCUCCUUGCGCAAUCGCGCCAUGUAAUGAUAAUCGGCCUCAGUGGGAAUGAAUCCGAGCCCGAAUGGUACAUCGUGGUCCGGAAAGGCCAUGAACUCACUAGGCCCGUGCUAACGCCGCCCCAAACCCAUGCCGGGAAGAUAAGACAUGCUCUGCAUAAUAUCGAGCACCACCGUGCUAUUGUGCUGGUCGAAGGACAUGGCUACAAAGUCUCGGCAAAAAUCCUCCAUCUCUAGAGUCUGCACCUUAUCAAAGGUGAAGCCGGUCAGAAAAAGAUCAUCAUCACUGUGGCUGAUCUGGAGCACACACUCGGCGGAAAUGAUCAUGUCCCCUGCUGACUGUACGGUGACGACCUGACCCUCGUGAAUGAACUUCACUUUCUGAUGAAGUGAAGAAGGAAUAGCUCCGGCUCGGUGAAUCCAUGAUCGGCCCAAAAGCAAGUUAAAGGAUGUAGGAAUCCUCAAAACCUGGAAUACGGUGACAAACGUGGCCGGACCUAUCAAGAGCUCAAUCUACAAGGUACCCAUAACCUUUCUCCUAGUACUGUCAUAAGCUUGAACUGUCUGCAUUGAAGGACCGAAAUCAAAGGGUGCGUAUCCAAGGGCGAUGGCGGUGGCCAAGGGACAUACGUUCAGGGCCGAACCAUUGUCCAUGAGGACAGAUGAAACUCGACGACCUGAACAGCCGAUAGAAAUGUAGAGAGGACGUGUGUGGUCUGAGCCCUCUGAUGGCAAGUCGUCAUCGGAAAACACGAUACAAGAGGCUCUGCCAGCCAUCAUCAUGUGAAUAAGUCCCUCGGGAGUGGUCGUAGUGUUGACCCUGAUCUGGCUCAAAGCUCGAAUCAGUGCAUCUCGAUGAGUACUAGAGGACGCUAAGAGGCUUCAAAGAAAUACGAGCUUGAGUGCUCUACAGCUGUCUCAGGAUCUCGUCAUCCUCUGCUCAAACCUCCUCGGGAGCAGACGUCCCCUCUAAUGGUCUGGCGGCAGUGGCAGGAGGUGGCUGUCUCAAGACUCUCCCUCCUCGGAGAAUGUACUGAACGUCCGGAGUCUGAGAAUCAUCAACGUGUGGAGCCUGAACCCCCUCAACAUCUGGGAUCAAGAUGAAUGGCACCUGGACGUUGUAAUGUGGCAAAAUCAAUGGCUCAACAGUGGCAGUCUGCACCGAUGCCGCCUCGGGAACUAAUCGGAAAGGAGUAGGCAUCCGAGGCCCUAGAGUCACCCCACUCAUCUCAUAAAUCACAUCUGGCAUGAUGGGCUCUAGGUCUGAAUCGUCCUCACUCAACAUGUGGACGUGGUCGUCUAUCUCAUCGAAGUCCAAGAAAUGAAUACCAUCAGCUGGUGGAGGGACUGCAUGUGUGGUGUGGGCCGGUAACGGGUUUGUGGAACCACUUGGCUGACCCAAGUGCACCAAACCCUGGUCGAUCAAAUCCUGAACGGCAUGCCUCAAAGCGGUGCAUCGAUCGGUCUCAUGUCCAGGCCCCUGAUGGUAUGCGCAAUGCAGAUCCAUCCUGAACUGGGGUGGAAUCGGUUGAGGUGGCGGCCUGGGAGCUAAAACAGUCAACAGCCCUGCCUUUGUGAGCUUCCGAAGAGCCUGGCUCAACGUCAUGCCUAACUGCGAGAACUGUCUCUGUGUCCUCAAAGCAAAUGGAGCAAAAGUUUGCUGAGCUCUAGGUCGGGGAUAAAGCGCUGUGGGUCUCGCAGUGAACUGAGCAGCAUAGCAUGGCUGUCCUGUGGCCGUGUAGGAAACCGGGGGUCUCUUAAUGCCCUGAGAGGCAUAAUAAGGCAAAGCCAAAGUCUGUGGCACAUAGGGCUGAUCAUAAGUCGGACGAGGUGCCCGUGGCCUGUACUGAUGAGGUGCAUAGGAAGAAUGAGGCUCGAAAAGCUGUGGGAUCGGCUAAUGGCGCCUGAGAGGCCUUUGACUGGAAGAACCAAUGGCGCUCACAUCCAUUAACCUCUAUCCUACGAAAGGCUUCUUCCCCUUAAUAUCACUAGGGGAAGAAUCUGUCCACAAUCCUCUCGAGAUGUCGUCCUCAACAUCGUAUAAAGCCAAAACCAGAGACCCAAAAUCUGCAAAUGGUACCCCGACCACAUGCCUGGCAAUCCUCGGCUGUAGGCUCCUCAAAACCAUCUGAAUCUGAUCUCUCUCUGAUGGUUUAUCCACUACCUUGGCUAUCUUCCCGCGCCAGCGGGAGAUGAAUGAAGAAAUAGAUUCCUCUGCCCUCUGUCUCAGAGCCUCAAGCUCCCUCCUCGAUACAUCUACGACAGUGUUAAACGAAAACUGUCGUAGGAACUUGUAGACCCUCUAUUUUGUCUUCCUCGCACAUGUCGUUUAUAGCAAUUCUCUGGUGGCCCGUUAAUACUCGUGUAACCUAUCUUUUCUAAGCCACCUUGGAGACUUUGGUUGAGGGAUGAUUUGACCUCUUAUUGUGACCUUUGGCAGCUCUAAUUUAGACUUAGGCACUUUAGGCCCACUUAGGCACCACACUUAGCCCGUUAGGCAUCACCCUAGGUCCAUUUAGACACUUGGCCCAUUAGGCAUCACCCUAGGCCCACUUAGGCACCUUAGGUUCACUUAGUACACCUUAGGCCCAUUAGACAUGCCUAACCCAUUAGGCACCACUUUAAGCUCACUUAGGCAUCCUAGGUUCACUUAGAUACACUUAGGCCCACUCUAAGCCCACUUAGGCCCACUUAGGCAUCCUAGGUCCAUUAAGCACCACUUUAGGCCCACUUAGAAUCCCUUGGGUAGUUCUUUAAGCUUAGUACACUAAGGUUUGUCUUCUGGAAUUCUAUUUGUUUGAUUUUUGUUUUAAGUGGGUUUUAGUUUAUUUGUUCUUGUAUUUAUUUAUUUUUAGGAGAUUAUAAGAUACUAACGUUAUGUUUCUUUAUCAUGAAAUAAUAUUUUGGUUAUCUUGUGCAUGUAUAUGAUUAAUCAUCUUUAUUAUUAUUAUUAUUAUUAUUUAUUUAUUUAUUUAUUAUUAUUAUUAUUAUUAUUAUUAUUACUAUUUAAUUGGAUGAUUUUGUUUUUACUAUUUUUAUUGCAUGGUUCUAUGGAAGGGAGAUUCGACCGUGAUUUGAAAGAGCAUUCAACCCAAGACAGAUAUGAAAAAGGGAAGAAAGAGAGAGAUGGGAAGGUUUAGAAACUUACCAAAGCUGAUUUUGGCAGGUGAAAAGAAGAUGUUCGGUGUGUAUAGGGAUGGAAUGAAGGCUAGGUUCAAAAUGGAGGGUUCUAAUCAUGUUGGACUGAUGCGGAAGAUUACGGGUUUUCUCUAGACCGGUGAGGGAUUUUUUCCAUAUUGGUAGAGUCAACGGGACCAUUGAGAAGGAAAGGAUUCUCUGGAGGGAAGUGGCAGCUGCACCAGGAAAGAAAGAAAAUAUUUUUGCAUUCAAGAAGAGAGGAAAAGGAUCAGAGAGGGGGACCUUUCCUACGGUGUCUUCCAUCACUGUGGCUAGAGAGGAGUCGGAGAGAUUGAGAAAAGGGGAAGGAGAAGGAAAGAAAAAAAAAAAGGAGGGAAGAAGGAGAGGGGAUCAACAACUGCUUCAUUCUGGAAGCGGGAGCAGGUGCAGCCGCACCAUUCAGACCAAAGGAAAGUUUGGUAUUUUGGGUUGAGGAGGAGGUGCAGUCGUACCUGGUUUUGGAGGAAGUACAUCGCACCUUUGAGAGGGUUUUCAGCACAAGGAGGGGGAAAGAAAAACAGGGAGUGCGAUCUGGAGAGAGGGGAAUCAUCAUUCACAUCUCCAUGAUUGACUGAAAAAGCCAGGACGACUAGAGAUUUUUUUUGCUGGCCUCAGCCUUGAGAAGGAUCAGUAGCGUGCUUCCUCUAAAACCAACCAGACAUCUCACCACGGGGACACCGGCUUCAUCACUGCCAGUCCGCUCAUCUUGAUGAUUCGCCUAUCACCAUAAUCAGAAACACUUACGAGGUGCAUCAAAUCUCCACAAAAAGAUUUCCGUUCACACCUUCAGCACCAACUUCACGCUGCCAUCCGUAGUCGCAUGCCUCUUCCCCCUCCUCUCGCAAUCUGCAUCCGCCAUCAGUCCACGCAUCAAGCCUUCAUCCACACGACUGCCGCUUUGAGGGAAGCAAUCCACGCACCAAUAGAGUCUCCACAGGAAGCAUCUCCACCUGAAGGAAAUCCACUUACACGGCUGCCACCUUGAGAAGGACAAUCCACGCACCUAACUGCCAGGUAAGUUUGGUUUCUAUGUGGGGUUGCUUUGAAAAAAAAAUAUAUAAAAGUCUGGUUUGAUUUUUGUUUGGAUUAUUAUAUUGGGUUGCUUUAUUGGUCCAGUACGUUUUCAUUAAUAUGGCAGCAAGAAUACUAUUUUUUAGGUUUAAUUGUUUAGUUAUUAUAUUCGGUGAUGUUUUGGUGUACCAUUUUUAGUUUGGAUUUUUGUAUUGGGUGAGUGGGUUGAUUUGUUUAUUUGCUUGAACACGUGUUUUCUUUAAUAUGGUAAUACAAUCUCACAUUUGUUUAUUUAUUUUUUUGAUUCAUCACAUUAAAGGUUAGUUUUGAUGUAUUAUAUUAAAUUCAUAAAAUAUGAUUUUAGAUAGCUUUACAUAAAAUAAAAUAAAAAACAUAUAUAUUUUAAUCUUCAUUUGAUAUGGUUUUGAUUCAUUUAAUUACUGAUUUUUUAUUUAUUUAUUUGUUACCAAAUUAAUGCUUUGUAAUUUAUUUAAUUAUAAAUAAAAUUGAUUUUAUAGGUUAGAGAUUUGGUUUUAAAAAUCAUUUUUGUUAGUUUUUAAUUUUACUUUAGGUUUAAGCACUUUUAUAAAAUUUUAGUUCAUUAAAAUAAUUUAUCAUAUAUAUGUUUAUCCAAUUAUAAAUAAAUUAUUUUUGAUUUGUUAUUCUAGCUUGAAAAUUAUGUUUUGUUCACUGUAGUUACAAUUUAUUUUCUUAGUUUGACAAAUUAGUUUCUUAGUAUUGGUUUGGGCAAUUUUUGUUAAUAAUGGAAAAGUUAAGAUUUUUUAGAGUUUAGAUAAUUUUUUAUGAUAGUUAAAAAUUUAGAAUAUUGAUUAGCAUUAUUUUGGUUCUCAAUUAGGAAAUUCAUAAUUUCAUACGUUUUAGUUUUAAUUUAUCUUUUAGUUUAGAUGUUAUUAAAAUUCAGUUUAUUAGUUCAAUUGCUUCCAUGUCACUCUUUUCAUAUCUAAAAGUUGUUAAAUUUAAUUCAUGAUUCAUCCUUUUAGUUUAUUAGUUUUAGAAUUUAAGUUGGUUAAUUUAUUUCAUUCUGCGUUGAUAUAUUCAUGUUUUAAAAUAAAAUAUAUAAAAUUAAAUAAAUAAAUAAAUAAUAAAAAUUUAUUUUAGUUUUGAUUGAUCCUGUUUUAGUUGAUAUUUUUUAGAGUUUUAAUUAAUUUGAUUGGUUUCAUAUUGUUUAGUUUAUGUUAAGAUUUUUUUAUUUUUUAUUUUUUUUAUUUUUUAUUUUUUUAUUCCAUUUUCCCAUUAAUUAUAUGCUUUCGAAUUGUAGGCUAUUAGUUUAAUCUAUUCCCAUGUUGUCAUUUUGUGUUUAAAAAUAGUUCAUUUUAGUUUUUGACUAAUUUUAUUUAUUCUAUGUGUUUUUUUUCUUUUAUUCAAUUAUUUAGUUAGUCGAUUAAAUUUAUGACUCCAAAUCAUUAAUAUUAGUUGAUACGUAUCGUUUGUACUAUUUUAAAGGUCACAUAAUAUUUAGUGUUUGAUUAAGUUUAUCUUAAGAUUAAAUGUUUUUAAAGUUUUAGUGCUUGUAAGAUCUAAGGUUUUGGUUUAUCACUUUGGUCAUCCUUUGUCAAAAUCAAUUUUUAGAGGUUAUCGGAAAAUAGUGAAGAUUGGCCUCCAUUCCCACCACUUCAAUUUUAUCGGUUGUCAAAAAUUCUACUUUGUGAUUUUGUUCUUUUUUUUCUUUUGCUUGGUAUUUUGAUUCAUACAUUUUAUUGUUUUCAAAUUAACUUCUUUUAUCUUUAAAACAUAACAAUAUUCUCAAAAUCUCAUUUCCUUAAAAACAAACCAUUUCAAAAAUUCAUUUAGAGUUCUCAGAAUCAAAAUCCCAUUCCCUUUAAAAAUUCAUUUCAAAGAUUCCUUUAGGAUUCUUAAAAUCAAAACCCCAUUUUCUUAAAAUAAUAUGCAACCAUUUUUUUUGAUCGGUUUGCAUCUUUCUCGGUUUUUAACGAAAAUUUUGGUUUGAAAUCAGACACGAAUCAAAGCUUGUGGUCCCACAUAAAUGGGAUAAUUUUGAGCUAAAUUCGUGUAUAUCAAUUGGGGAAUUGGUGAAACCCCUACAUAGAAAAAUCUUUUCAAAAAUUAUUUUUGUUGCCACUUUUGUCACUUGUUGAAAUUAUGUCUAUCUUUUUUUAGGAAUUGUAUACAAGAUGAGUGUGAUAAUUAGUGUUUUCAUAUACUUUGAUAAUUUCUGCUAUGCUAAUUAGAUAACGAGCAUGCUAGGAUUCCUAUAUUUUAUUAUUUAUUAUCUAACCCCUCAUGUCUUAUGGAAGCGCAUUGUAAGUCAUCUAUGUUAUCCAGGUACGUAUCACCUACUUUCUAAAUUUUGUAAACAAUCAUGUCACUGUGAAAUAUGCAUAUGUUUGAUAAUCCUUAGGUGCUUAGAUGUAUGCUAGAUUCGCUAUGAUUAAAUACAUGUUGUGUGCUAUACUUCUAUACUAUCUCUCAUGUUUUUUUAUGGCGCUUGGGAAGCCGUCCAGGUACGCAUCCUUAACUUUCCUUCAUUGUUAUUUGAUCUUGUUAGGCAUGCAAUAUUCGAAAUCAUCUAAUCUACUUAGGUAUCCAUAAUUAACUGAUUAAUGGCCACACUUCCCUUAACUUUGUCAAUAGAGACCUUUAUAGGGCUUAGAGGGGUGCUACCUUUCAAAGGUACCUUCCCAAUAGGUAACCUGAUCCCCGGACUUAGACUCGGGUUUUUCAAAGACACGUUUUUCCAAAAAUUAUGGAGUCAUUUUUUUUAGGGUUUUAUUUCUUGUUUUAUUUUCCCUUUAAAAAUAAAAAUAAAAUAAGUGGCGACUCCAACUUUUUUUCAAAAAUCAAUUUUUCACAAAUAAAAAGCGAGUCUCGCCGAUCGAGUGGGGGCGCACGUGAAAAAUGCGGGUCCACAGAACUCUUGGGCUAAGUCAUCCCAUGUACGGCGUCUCGAAGACUCCAAAGACGCGAACCAGCGUUGAGCCACCCCACUCAGAGAUAGUGGGAAAAGAGUGAUCAUCUGAGGCUCGUCCAAUCCAUGAGCCCUCAUCACCGUGCUGUAUAAUCGGAGGUGCAUGCGUGGACAACCAAUGCCUGUAUACCUCUCAAUAUCCGGCAUCCUGAACUUAGCCAGUAGACUGGCUAUCGACAUACCCUCUAGAUCGUCUUAGACAACGGAGCCAUCAGAUACUCUCAACUGCCUCAUGCGCUGCUCAAUGCGGUCCAUGCGCGCAUGAGCAUCAUCGAUAACAAGGGCCUGGACAACUGCGGGCGGAACAACCUCAGAAUGACUGUGUAGCACAUAGGGUGAAGCCUGGGGCACCAAAGGAACUGGUGGUGGCGGUGGAGGUGGCAACGAGUCAUGCGGUGUCUCAUCCUGAGCCACUGGGGGUCUACUCUGCUGACCACUGAUCUCCUGCCUGAGGUUAGCCAAAGUCUCCUGAAUAGAAGCCAUCGCGGCCGUGAACUGGUCGACCGUAACUACCUGCUGAUUCAUAAUUGAUCUCUCUGAAAACCGAACCAAUCUCCCCUCUACUCUGAUCCAAUGAGGUAAGUCCAGACUGAUAACAAAGGUCCAAUCCUGAAAGUCUCGUCCUCUGCUCUAAUCUACGAAGGUAUACCUAGACUCAGAACAAAGGUCUAAUCCUGGCAAAUCACGAAGAACGAAAUAAGGAUAUGGCUCGAGGAAAGUACGAAAGAAAUGAUAAUCUGAACAGAAACAAACAAGGCAUCCAAGUGAAAAUGAACGGUCUGACCGUACUCAAACUCGUCCUGAUCUCAGUGCACUCUCAACUGGAGACUAAAUAGAGGGAACAUCGGAUCCAAAAUGUGGCUAAAGAGGCUUUGAAAGCCCUCAGAUGCACCCACGUGUAGGGAGGAAGUCCUAGUUGAAGGAUCUACGACUCAACCUACAAGGUCAAGGUGGUUCUAGAUGGAUAAGGGUGGACUUUAAAAGAUCCCUAGCAGAAGCAAUCAUACCCUCCGGUAGUAUGCAACCCUCUGCACGCCUCAGAAGAGACGGGGUGCUUCCAUGCAAGGUGGUCAUCACCUCCAUACAUGCACUACCUCGACAUCCCAGGGGGUUCCUAUGGUGAAACCUCUCAAACUCGCAACUCUCAAAAGUCAGCUAGAGUGCACAGUGAAUGGUGUGGGUGCAUCUGAAACCCUAUGAAGCUAAAACAGAAGAGGAAACACACUGGCCACACAAAUAUCCAUGAAACCUAGCUCCGGGCUAUAUAGGUCUUCAAUGAUCGGACUCCAAUCUGCAUCAACGUGUCGCUCUUCUCCAGAAUACUCCCAAACAUCGGUAUAGCCCGUCGCUAGACCCUACUCCUAACCUCUAGCUCGGUCAGAGUGCAAGCACACACAAGGCCUCACAUUUGCAAAAGUGAAAACCGAAAUGAAGGAAAUGACCGAAACCAGAGGGUGGGAGGUAAGGGGAUAAAUGUGCGACCCACAUAGAUAGGCGACAUGCAAUCAUACAAGGGAGGGCAAUCAUGCAACAUACAGUCAGGCAGUGCUCAGAUAUAUUACCAUGUACACACAAGAUAAGCGAGAAUAUGACAAUUAGAUGAAUAAUGAUACAAAUAUCAUGCUCAAAGACGAUCGAGUUAAUAUGCGAGCAAGCGAAUCAACAUGUCAAAUCAAAUUAUAUACAAUGGUGAAUCUAUACAACAUGUGAUGUGAUCAAAACAAACAUGGCAAAAUCAGAAUCACUAUACUAAGCAAAACAAAACGAGCAAUCGAUGCAAUCAACAUGUCAACAUCCUCAAACAAAUAAAACAAUGAAGUACGGAAGAGGUAACUAUCUCGGGUCUUCAAUCAUGACAAAUCAAUCAUCAUAAUCAACAUACCAAUAUCCCAGAUGAAUACAAUAUCCGAACAUGCAUCAAAACUCUCAAUGUACAAUCAAAAGAUAGGCAUCCACUGAUUGACCAAUCAAAUGCCACAUUUGCUUCAUCCUAAGUUCAAGCUUGACCCUUUAAAAAUCCCCAGUGGAGUCGCCAUUUUGUGGACCUCGCAUUUCGGCUCAUGUGUUUCCCACUUGAUGGCGAGCUCAACUUUUAUUUGAAAAAUGAUUUUAAUUGUUUAAGAAAACUGACUUGGAGUCGCCACUUAUUUUUGUUUUAUUUUUAAAGGGUAAACAAAAUAAGAAAGAAAACCCUAAGUGCGACUCCUUGUUUUGGAAAAGGUGGCCUAUGAAAACCGGAUCGGGCUCAGGGGUCAGGUUACUUAUCGGGAAGGUACGGUAUGAACCGUAGCACCCCUCUAAGUCCCUAAAGUCAGGUCUCUACUAAUAGAAUGAAGCUAACGUGGUCAUCAACAAGAAAAACAAUGAACACUCAAAUCGAUCGUGCACAAUAUGAGAAUCAGAAUAUGCAUAUAGAAUGAUCAAAACAAGAAUGAGUGCGUACCUGGACCCCCAGUCACGAAUGCGCUGUAGAAAAGAAUCCGUGAGUUCCCUUCUUGCCCGUGAUCAGCUUCCCGGUCUUCCUCCUCCUCCUGGAAACUCUCUGCCCUCCCAAUAUUUUUUUUUUUCUUCCCCAUCUUGUUUCCUCUUCCUGCAAGCCAAUAUCCACUCCCCUGUUCCCCCGCUCCGCAUGUUUGGAGCCCCAACCACCACUAUGGCUGUGGUCAGUUGCUCCCCACACGUUUCAUGCAGCUGAUGUUUCCAGAAAACGGUCCCCACCCCAGCCUUUCUCGAGUUGACACGCAUAAAACCUCAUAAAUGCUCCACCUGAUAAGAAACGGCUACAGUUAGAUGGGGGUCUACAAUAAUAUUAUUUUAUCUCAAUGAGAUAAGAUAUUUGAAACUUAAUAAUUUGAUAAAAAAGAUUAUAAUUUAAUAUAACUUUUUAUAUCCUAAAGUACCAAAAUAGAUUGCAAUAAACAAAAGUUUAGGGAAAAUGAGUUUUAACUCACUAUUUUGAAAAAAAUAUAGAAAAAAGAAUUCCAAUUUUUAUAAAUCAGUUUUAUCUUCACUCAUUUAAAAAUAUUUUAAAAUACAUGCACUUUUUCAUAAUUCAAAUAAUUAUUUCUUAAAAUAACCUUUUUACUUGUGAUAUUAAUAACACUAAUUAACAAUUUUUUUAAAAGUGAGAAAUGGUUUGAGAUUAAUAAAAUAAUAAAUUUAAAAAUUAAAAAUACAAUUAAAACUUAAAAUAACUUUAAAGCUAAAAACAUAAAAAUAAAAUAUUAACUUUUACUUAGUUAAAGCACUUUGGUCGAAAAUAUAGAUAUCAAGAAAUUGUUGAAAAUAAAAUAGGAGUAAAUUUUUUAUUUUUAAUUGUAUUCAAUUUUUAUAUAUUUUAGUUUUAACUUAAUUUUCUUAUUUUAUUGUUGAUGUCAACUAACAAAAUUUUUAUUUAAUUUUAUUGAAAAAAUAUAAGAAGAUGAAGGGAUUUAUAUAAUACAAGAUAUAAAAUCAUUAUUGAUUAAUAUAAUAAAGUAAAAGGAUGUUUCAGGAAAUAAUUAUUUGAUUCAUAAAAAAGUGCAUGGAUUUUAAAAUAUUUUUAAAUGAAUGAUGAUAAAAUCAAUUUAUAAAAAUUGAGUUAUUUUUUCUAUAUUUUUUCAAAUUAGUGAGUCAAAACCUACUCUUCCCAUCAAAUUAUAUGAAAUUAUAAUUUGAUUUAUUUUUAAGUAAAAAAAAAAAUUAAAAGUAAAAUUGGUUUUCUUUAGGUGACUAUUGUAGAAAUUAAAAGAAAAACAACUUUUUUCAUUGACAGAAAAAUUAUAAAAAAUAAAUAAAUAAAUCAACUUUUUCAUUAACACAAACUUGUUUUAGAAUAAUUAAUAAUUUGGAAAUAACUUUAAAUUGUCUUAAGUAAGGGGAAAAGAAAAAAAAAAAAGAAAAAGAAAGAAGAAGAAGAAGAAGAAGAAGAAGAGCUAGUUCAUUCUUGUAAAAGCAUUUCUAAGAGAAGUAAUGAAAGACUAACAUUAAAUACACUUUUAUUUUAACCACUUGCAAACAAGCCCUUAAUUAAUAAAUAACAAAGAUGAUAAAAUAUCAUUUGUGGUCAUAUUUACUUAACAUUAAAAUUUCAUGGCAUGCUUCCUAACAUUGAAUGGUCUAGGUUGUGUAAUUUGGUUGUAAUUCAUUUUUCCCAUGAGAUUUAAAGCCUCUUUGUAUCUUUAGAAAAUUUUAUGAGCAAAUAUAAGAAUGCCUUAAGGUACUUUGAUUCUCGAGAAAUUUGAAUGAAAAUGCAACGAAAGAAAGUAGAAAGAAAAAGUAGAAGAAAACAAAGAACGAAAGAAAACAAAAAAAUAGAUAUAGAGUCAAUAAAUUAUUUGUUUAUGUACUAUUUUAAACUCGUUUAAUUUAUUUUAAAUUUUUUAUAUAAAGAUUGAAUAAAAAUUUAUAAGUUUCUAACUAAUUUUAAUUUUAUUUAUUUCUUUAUUAAAGUAGGCUUAGAGGAUUGAAAUUUUCAUAUAAAAAAAAAUGAUGUAAGGUUUUUCUAACUUUUUCUUAAUCAAACAACACUCUCAUUCAAAUAUGUAAUUUUCCUAAAAAUGAAAGACUAAGUAAAUGAAGUUCAAUUGAGGUGAAAUUUAAGUUAAAGGAGUUUGUUGAUGAGUCUAGAAAUUUUAAAAAUUAAUUUCUAAGUCAAAUGGAUACCAAAGAUUAUCAAUUAAGCCUCAACCAAAAUCAAAUCCAAAUUUGCCCAAAACAGAAUAUGUUGCAAUGCUACUCACUUUCUCGAAUUUUCUCACCAAUUAAAUAAGUUCUAAAUAUUAUGAAACUCUCAAAAUCUAAUAUAUAAUGAGUUUAAAAAAAUAAAUAAAUGAUUUAUAAACCUAAAAAAAUUCUAAUUACACCAAACUCUAAAAAAUAAAAACUAUCUCGGGAUAACUUGUCGAAAAUCCAUUAGCAUUUUCAUAAUUACUUUCCUAUGAAAUUGAAGUUGGAAUGGCAUGAAAUUAAGCUCUAUAAUUUUCUUUUUUAUUUUAAAAACAUAUAAAAAUAAUUAAAAAUUAUUUUUAUAUGAAAUAAUUAUUAAUAAAAACUAUAAAAUAACCUUUUAGAUAUUUGGAUAUAAUUUAUGAUUGAUGUUACCUUAAAUUUUAAUAGGAAGGGUUAGGAUGUAGGAAGAGGCCUGAUUUAAGCUUGUCUCAACCGAAAGGGCCGAUGCAAGCCUAACCUGGCCAAUAACUCAGGGGCCUGCAUUGACCUAGUGAGUCUUGCCUUGCUGAGCUAGAUGGGCCUAAGCCUGGUCCUGGCCGGCAAGGUGCCUCCAGGAAGAUCCGGAAAGCUUCCCUUUUCCUAUGAGUGGGUAAGCAGUCCUCAUCAGGAAUAUUGCAUGUUACCCCGUAAGUCUUGCAACCCAUGUUCAACAUCAUUUUCUUCUUUAAAGGGUGGUCCACACUCCUUCCUAUCUUAUCUUUUUGUGGUGGAUAUUCACAAGUCUCUUAAAAAUCAUUUGACAAAACUCAUCUGAUAUUCAAAAGUCUUCAUCUACCUCUUUCUUCUGCCUAAUGGUGAUUUGAACAUAUUUUUUAAUACUUAUUUUUAGAAAUUGUUUUUAAGUUAAAAAACAAAAAAAAAUAGCUUUUUAAUAUUUCAUAAAAAUAAGAGUUUUGACAAGUUGUCUUUUAAAAGCAGUUUUUAAAAACAAAAAACAAAAAACUCAAUUGUUUUUAGAAAUUAUUUUUCUAUUUUUAUUUUGUAAAAACAUUUUAAAUCCAAUUGAUAUGAUAUUAACUAAAUUUAAUUCAAGUCUUAUUAAAAGUGAAAAAUAGUUUUAUAAUUAUAAAUAAAUUAAAAAUAAAUCAUGCUUAUUAAAACAUGAAUAGUAAUAUUAUAAUAAAAUAAUAAAUUAAAUUUUUUUGGUAUAAAAUAUACUAUUUUGGUUUAUGUUAAAAAAAUAUGGAUAGUAACAUUUUCGUAAAAGCAUAAUUUGUUUUCUUAAAUAAAUAAUGAUAAUUUAAAAGUAACAAUGAUUAAUAAUAUUUUAUUUAAAAUAAAUAACUAAGAAAGUUUAAAUUUUUAAUAUGUAAAUUAAUCAAGUUUUUCAUUACAUGCACACAUGUCGUGUUCAAUUACGCAUACAAUAUUCUGGAAUAUUUCAUUGAACCGCAAUUAAUUAGAUUGAUUUUUUGAAUUCCAAAUUAUUUUCUUUAAAAAUUGUUAAACUUAUUAAUAAAUUCAAUAUAAAGUGUGCCCCUUGAUUUAAAGUUCAUUUUUCUAAUGAGAAAAUUUAUAAAACUUUAAUUAUGUGUAAAAAAUUAAUAAGUAAAUUCAUUAUAAGUCAAUUUCUAUUUAUUAUUUAAAUUUAAAUUAUUUUUAAACAUUAUUAGACUCGUUAACGAAUCUAAUAUAUUAAGGUUUGUUUAAUUUAUAAUUAAUUUACUUAGUGAAAAAAAUCGGAAAAAAAAAAUUCUGCAUAGAAAAAUAAUAUAGUCCUUUGGGACUAAUUUUUAUCAAUAAACUUUUCUCAUUAAUGAGUCCAUUAUUUGAUUUUUAAAUUAUUUUUAAAAUUUUCUAAAUUUAUUAAUAAAUCCAACCUAUUAAGUAUUUAAAUUUAUUUGUGUAGUGAAAAAAUGGGAUCAAAUUGCAAUCCACAUAAUAUCGGUAGGUAGAAAAUGAAUUCUUCUGUACCUUUAGCAUUAGUUGAUAGGCCAUCGUCUUCAUCCACCUCUUUCUUCCAAGGCCAAGGCUCUUCCACGUUGCUCUGCAACUGCUUUCUUGAAUUGUUCUUGGAUCCACUAUUCACUUCCCUUGCAAACCAACAAACAUGGCUGGGGCUAUAGUAGGAGGAGCACUUCUCUCGGCUUCUAUCGAAGUUCUACUUCACCGGAUGGCUUCUCGCGAGGUCCUCACCUUCCUCCGGCGACAGAGACUCAGUGCUACGCUCCUAAGGAAGUUGAGGAUAAAAUUGCUGGCAGUUCAGGUAGUGCUCGACGACGCUGAGGCCAAGCAAUUCACAAAAUCAGCUGUAAAAGAUUGGCUGGAUGACCUGAAAGAUGCUGUGUAUGAUGCAGAGGACCUGUUGGAUGAUAUCACCACUGAAACUCUACGCUGCAAAAUGGAGUCUGAUGCUCAAACCAGCGCAACUCAGGUACGUGACAUCACCUCUGCCUCGCUUAAUCCGUUUGGAGGGGGGAUCGAGUCCAGGGUAGAGGAGAUCACUGACAAACUAGAAUAUCUUGCACAAGAAAAAGAUGUUCUGGGAUUGAAAGAAGGCGUUGGAGAAAAAUUGUCACAAAGAUGGCCCGCGACUUCCUUGGUAGAUGAGUCUGGGGAGGUGUACGGAAGGGAAGGUAAUAUAAAGGAGAUAAUUGAAUAUUUGUUGUCCCAUAAUGCAAGUGGGAAUAAGAUAAGUGUGAUCGCCCUGGUGGGUAUGGGCGGUAUUGGAAAGACCACACUUGCUCAAUUGGUGUAUAAUGAUAGGAGAGUGGUGGAAUGUUUUGAUCUUAAAGCUUGGGUUUGUGUUUCCGAUGAAUUUGAUCUUGUCAGGAUAACGAAAACCAUUCUUAAGGAAAUCGAUUCUGGGGCUUCUGAAAAAUAUUCUGAUGAUAGUGAUUUGAAUCUGCUUCAACUUAAAGUGAAGGAGAGACUUAGUAAGAAGAAAUUCUUACUUGUCCUUGAUGAUGUUUGGAAUGAAAACUAUACUAAUUGGCAUAUGCUACAAACUCCAUUCACCGUUGGUCUAAAUGGAAGUAAGAUUAUUGUAACUACACGUAGUGAUAAGGUUGCAUCGAUCAUGCGUUCAGUUCAUAUUCAUCAUUUGGGACAGUUAUCCUUUGAGGACUGCUGGUCGCUAUUUGCAAAACAUGCAUUUGAAAAUGGAGAUUCUAGUCUACAUCCAGAACUAGAAGAAAUUGGCAAAGGGAUUGUAAAGAAGUGUAAAGGAUUGCCUUUGGCUGCAAAGACCCUAGGGGGUGCCUUAUACUCAGAGUUACGAGUAAAAGAAUGGGAAUUUGUAUUGAACAGCGAAACGUGGGAUUUACCAAAUGAUGAAAUUCUCCCCGCCUUAAGGUUAAGCUAUUCUUUUCUUCCUUCACACUUAAAGCGGUGUUUUGCAUAUUGCUCAAUUUUUCCUAAGGACUACGAAUUUGAAAAGGAAAAUUUGAUUCUAUUGUGGAUGGCAGAAGGCUUUUUGCAACAAUUUGAAAGCAAGAAAACAAUGGAAGAGGUGGGUGAUGGGUACUUUUAUGACCUAUUAUCAAGGUCAUUUUUUCAGAAGUCCAAUAGUCACAAAUCAUAUUUUGUAAUGCAUGAUCUCAUUAACGACUUGGCUCAACUUGUUUCUGGAAAAUUUUGUGUUCAGUUGAAGGAUGGUAAAAUGAAUGGAAUUCUUGAAAAGCUCCGCCAUUUAUCAUAUUUUAGAAGUGAAUAUGACCAAUUUGAGAGAUUUGAGACCCUAAAUGAAGUUAAUGGUCUUCGUACCUUCUUUCCUUUGAAUUUGAGAACUUGGCCUCGGGAAGAUAAGGUUUCAAAGAUAAGAUAUCCAAGUAGUCAUAGGUAUGGUUUAGAGUUUCGCUUGAGUACUAGAGUUUGGAAUGAUUUGUUGAUGAAAGUUCAAUAUUUACGAGUGUUGUCAUUAUGUUACUAUCAGAUAACGGAUUUGUCUAAUUCAAUUAGUAAUUUGAAACAUUUGCGCUAUUUAGACCUUACCUACGCACUCAUCAAAAGGCUACCGGAGUCGGUUUGUAGUUUGUAUAAUUUACAAACAUUGAUAUUAUACAAUUGUAAAUGUCUUGUUGAAUUGCCUAAAAUGAUGUGCAAAAUGAUUAGCUUACGUCAUCUUGAUAUCAGGCAUAGCAAAGUGAAAGAGAUGCCAAGUCAC